rnacentral:lncRNA from 1 species
AAAAAUAUUACCUACAUUGACGCCUUAAGAUUUCAUAUUACUCAAAAAGUAUAGUAUAUUUUAAAAUCCAAAAAAUGAGUAAUCUCAUUGUUUUUGUAUUAGCUAUCGCUAUGUGUUUUGGUUUGAACGAAGGUAUUGUGUGUAGUAAUCCUAAUAACCAGUUGGAACGAUGUGGAGGCUCUGGUUGUGCCCUAAACACUUUGAAACUACGAAACGAACUCGGUCGUGGUAGUCUUCUCAAAAUCGAUUGCACAUCCAACCAAAACAAGAAAACAGGUCCACGCGAUGUUAGAUUCAAUCAGUCAUACGCUUUUGAUUUCGAAGAGGUUCAUUCCCACAGAAUAGUGUGGGCUUGUCAUUUGAGGCAUGGUCCAAAAUUGGAGUAUCAUCAGAGCAUAUGGAGAGCAUAUAGAGGAGCUGCUACUAAACGAUGUGGUCAAACACGUACAUGGAUUGCUAGACCUAAUGGUAUUUACAUGAACAAAAACUUCGUACCGCAAGGGUUUCGAUUUGCAUGGCUUAAAAGAUGAGUCAUCUUUUUUAAAAAACAAUUAUUUAUUUAUUUAUUGUGUACUAAAUCAUCAUUCUAAUAUUGGGAUUUAGAAUAUACAAGAAUUCUUUUUCUAUAAAAUAGGAUUUUGUAUGAUAUAUCUACAUAUAUUGUAAUCAAUAUUUUGAAUUAUAUAUCAUAUUAUUGUCCUUAUAUACUGAUUCUUUUUCAAGAAAUUGUCUUUUACUCCAAGCCAUAUCACCUUCUUCAUCUUGUACAAAUAUACAAUCUUUGAUCAGUUUCUAUAAAAACAAAAAAAACAAAUGGGCCUCACGAUUAUAAAAUAAUGGGCCUUACGGAUUAGAACAAAAUGGGCCACUAGUGUUUUUUUCAGAUUCUUUCAUAUUUCCCGUUCCGGGAAAGCAACGGAGGCGGUUGUCUUAGUCGCCGGCGGCAAAUGGAGUGUGCCGCGCGUGGCUUUUCUACGCGGUGCGUUGGUCCAGCGAUGCGGAGGUGUGGCCAGUGUGGUGCUGUGGCGUAUUGCUCAGUCUCUCAUCAGGUUUUUACUUCUGCUUACUUUCUUAAGCCUUCUUCUUCAUAUCGACCUAAUCGGUUCUAGAGAAACAAAGACGUAGUGAUUUGAUCGAUCUCUUGUAUGCUUGUUAGAUAGGUUUGUAGUUAAGAUUUAAUUAACUCAUGAAAAUUUUACAUUAAGAGUUCAAUCGUUGUUUGACAAAAAAAAAAAAAAAAAAGAGUUCAAUCGUUUGAUCAAUAGGUUCAUUGUUAAGUUUUGUGGAUGAUCUUGAUUUGGUUGUAGAGUUCACAUUGGAGCUAUCACAAGGAUGAAUGUAAGAGAUUAGAAGAACAAAUGCGUCGUGUUGAUCUGUUAAAUGAUUUCCCUUUUACAUUUACAGAAGAAGCUACAGUUCAGGUUUGUGAUAACUUAUGGAUGAUAUUGAGGAAUCUAAUGCCUUUUUUUGGUUCAUGAAAAUUUAGCUCAAAGUUUGUUUUUUUUCUUCGUUUAUUUGUGCUUAGGUUAGUCGAAAACAGGAGAGUAGGUGCUCGUUUCUCAGCAAAAGGGAUUUACAUCCUGUUGGAAUGUGGAUGUAUGAGUGUAAAUGUGGAGCCUCUGCUUCUUUUUCGGCUUCUGAUAGGUUUUGAUCGCUUAUCUUUCUCUCUUUGUCUAAUGAGAAUUACGUUUUGAUUUUGAGCCAUUGUAAAUUGAACUGAUUACUAUCUUUUCUGUACAGUUUUAGAAAUGAAGGUUGGCAUCUGCCAAGUUCUUCUUGUCCAUGUCGUGGUAAGAUCCAGUUUACUUCUAUGUUUGUGGUUAACAAAAAGUUUGUUUUUUAAUAGAUUUCUGAUUUGGGAUCACACAGGCCCUUUAUAUUCAGUUACGAAACAGCUUUGUAGUUGGACGGGUUAUUUUGAGUGGAGAAAGAUACCUCUAGAUUCUCCUGUAGCUCUACUUCUCCACUGGGUAACAGUUUUUGUAAUGAUUAAUGUGAUUGCUAGUAUAGCUAGAAUGCUUGACGUUUUCAAUCUAUUGACUCAUGGAGCUUGCUUUUAUUUCAGCCACUUACGAUAUAUCAUGCAAUUCAAGUCGUUGGGAUGGGAAAUUUGAGUCCGCAAAUAAGUGAUGAACUUCGCAUACAUUAUCUUGGUAUGUUUCACUCUGUAACUGUAUUCUCUUUGAGGUUGCUUUGUUGUUUCUCUUUCUUGCAGUUUUUUGCUAAUCACCUUCAUUGUACUUAAUUCUAGUGUCGUACCUUAUUCUUGGCAUAUGGAAAGUAUAUAAAUAUUUGGAAAGAUACACCAUAGCAACUAUGAUAUAAAUUCUGAUGACAUGGUUUGCUGAUAGUUUUGAGCUUCUGAAGGGCCUCAGAAAGAGCUUGGCCAACUUGGUGUCUUCACUGAGCUGCAAGCCCUCUUCCCUGGUCUGCAAAUACGUGUAGAGCUUGUUGGACCUGACGUUCCACAACAUAUGUGAGUCCCGCAUUCCACAAUCUGUUUGAUUGUUUUGUAAAACACUCGUUAUAUUAUUAGUUAGGCAAAGUAAAUUACAUCAAAAGAUAUGUUUUCCUCUUUACCACUUUUCAUUAGAGUACUUAAAGCUGUUCAUCGGCAAUGUUGUAAGCUGUUUUUGUGUGUGUGUGUGUAUUGACAUAAAUAUGAUGAAUCUUUUCAUUUUGCUCUCUUGGUGACAGGGAUGGAGAGAUGAUCUCGCUUAGCAGAUACCCCCCUUGCAUGGCAGAAGAAUGCGAAUGUAAUUAUUCAAGCGAAAUUCCCAAUCUCGGUAACGAAUCUGCCUUGUCUUCAGCUGUGUCGUUACAGCUACAUAGAGGAUUUUACCAUGAUCGUUACAGUGACAUAACAAAGGUAUCCCUUUCUACUCAUCUAGAAACGGUAAUCUACAGUAGUGUUCUCAAAUGUCAUAUCCAUUUUUAUUGGACCUUGAAUUGAUUGACCUUCUCUUCUGGGCAGGAUUCACCUCCUCCUCACAUAGUGAUUGCUCCAAACGCUGGCGUUGCUGCAUAUCCAAGUUGGUUGCCAACUAUUGUACGUUUUUCCAAUAGCUGAUUUUCACAUUCAAUCUUUCGCAGGAAUAUCAUUUAUAUAUCUGUUCUUCAUUCAUGAGUUGGUGUGAAUAACUUCAGGAACUGAUAAAGGAGAUAAAAGUCCCAGCUGUAUUCACUGAUUACUGUGAAGAAGCUUGUCAUCUGGCGGCUUGUUGCAUUAAAACCAUCACAGGACAACCUCUAUCAUUACCUGUAAGUCUAGAUUAUAGAUUCACUAUUCUAUUCAACUUUUUUCAAAUCUAUGUUUUUUGUUAUGUGGGUUCCUCCUGCAUAAGUUCAGGCUUAUGUCUCAUCAAAACUGUAAAAGUAGAAUAGAGAGUCGACACAUAUACUAUAUAAUGAAGUUGAAGGAGACAAAAACACCAGUUUUUCAUCAUUAUCUAUACAAUAUUCAUCUUUGGGGCCACACACACAGACACACUAAUGUCCAGUUCUCCAAUCAACCUUUUGUGGACAAUGAAAAUAUAAACUUUUUUCUUAUAACCAUAUUGAUAUGUAUGGAAUGGUGUAUCCUUGAAAUGCAGAUUGAUUUGAAUCCAUUCAGACAGCCGAUGGCCGUGGAGGAGAGUCCUCUGUUUAUCCCUUGCUACUCAAACUGCUUCAUCUUCGCAAUGUAAAACUCUCCAACACUGUUGAUCGGCUAUGUGGUUCCAUGCUAUUGUCUGGGAAGGACCGUACCAGUCUAUGGACCAACAUUAUCUCUUCAAUGAAUUGUAGAAAAUGUCACAUCAUUUUGUUUUGGUUGUUGUAGUUAUUUAUGUGGAUAGGACCAUCAUGUGCAUACAUACAAUCAUUGUAGUCUUUUUUAUCAUUAGAUGAAUAAUUUUAUCCCAUCAAAAAGUACUUCUAGUCAAAAAAAAAUUCUACAUGUGUCUCAUGUCAAGUGAAAUAAUGCAAAAAAGGCAAAGUUCAAAGCAUUGGACUUUUUUUCAUCAUCUUAUUAUAUAAACCUUGGUUUUCAAAGUUAGCCAUUAACAAGAUCGUGACACGUGUCAAUUAUAAUUGAUAAGAUAUUGACACAUGUCGUAACUAAUUUUGUUAAUAUUUGGAUAAUAUAGAAAUAUUAUUAACCUAUCGAAAAAGGAAAUAUAUAAAAUAAAUAUUAUUAAUAAAAUAUACAAAUAACCUAAUUUCAGUUAUGUCAAUUUGGUUUAUCAAUAAGAUAGGGAUUUAAAAUUUAUAAUUAACAAGAAUAUAUGACGAUUUUUGUUUACAGAAGAGAAUUAAGGUUUAAACUUUAAUUUUACGAUUAAAUCAGGUUAUUUGUUGGUUUGGGUAUAUAAAUGAUAAAUAAGAAUUAUGUUUUAUCNNNNNNNNNNNNNNNNNNNNNNNNNNNNNNNNNNNNNNNNNNNNNNNNNNNNNNNNNNNNNNNNNNNNNNNNNNNNNNNNNNNNNNNNNNNNNNNNNNNNNNNNNNNNNNNNNNNNNNNNNNNNNNNNNNNNNNNNNNNNNNNNNNNNNNNNNNNNNNNNNNNNNNNNNNNNNNNNNNNNNNNNNNNNNNNNNNNNNNNAAUGAAAGAGAAUUUUUGAGAAAUAUCCCUUUUGGUGUAUCACUUUUCAAAAAUACCUCAUUUAUCUAUCCAUUUUCAAAAAUAUCCAUGUUUAAAUAUGAAAAUUUUUAAAGUUUUAUAUGGUUUAUAAGGCACUUUUAUAUAAUAACUACUACUUGGAAAUUUGAUACAAAUAUUUUAUAAUGUUUUAAAAGAUUUUAAAUCGUUUUUACAAGUUUUAUAAGGUUUUUAAGUGGUUUUAAAAAGGGUUUAUAAGGUUUUUAAAAGGUAUUUAUAAAUUAUUUUACGCUAUUUAUGAAAGAUAUAUAAAAAUUUAAACAUAUAUCAAGGUAAUUUGUGUGUAUAUUUAUAAGUUUACACACAUAUUUGGAUAAAUUUUAAUAUUUAUAGUUGUUUUUUUAUAAAGUUUGAAAUAGGGGAAUUUUUAAAAAGUGGUAUGGAAAAAGGAUAUUUUUGAUAAAUUCAAAAGUAAAAAAAUUGAUAUUUAUAUAAAAAAAGCGUAAGCUUAUAUAUUUAGACACAAAUUAUCUUUCUAUUUGUGUAAAUUUUAAAUACCAUAUAAAUACCUUUUAAAAACCUUUUAAAAUUAUUUAAAAAACAUAUAAAAACUUUGUAAAUCUUAUAAAAACCUUAUAAAAGUCUUAUAAAUGCCGUUUAAAACCAUUUUAAAACUUUAUAAAUAUUUGUAUUGAGUCUCCCAAUAGUAAUGAUGAUCUAGAUGUACCUUAUAAACUAUAUAAAAGUUGACAAUUUUUCAUAUUUGAAAAGGGAUAUUUUUAAAAUGGAUAGAAAAUUGGUGUAUUUUUAUAAAGAGGUACACCAAAAGGGGUAUUUCUUAAAAAUUCUCUUUUAACUAUUAACCUAAUUUUUGGUUUUGCGAGUUGUAGGUUUUACAAUUAUAAGGGUUAUAUGUUGAGUUUAUAAAUGUGCAUUAUAGUUUAGAUUUUAUUAUUAAACGAGAUUAUUUAUCGGUUUGGGUUUAUUAAAGAUGAGUGAGAUUUAGGUUUUACAAUUAAACAAGGUUAUUUCUCAGUUUGGGUUCAUAAAGGAGAAUUAGGAUUUACAAUUUACAAAUAAAUUAGAUUUUGAGUUUAACUAAAUUCAUAAUUUUAUUCAUGAUUUCUAUUUUAUAAUAUGUUAUAUUUUUUUAAUUUUUAAUUUAUGUACGAAUGUAUUAUGCCAUUGAGCAAUUUUAUUGUCUAAAACAUAAGGGUGAAUAAAAUAACAAAGUUUAAUAUAAAUCGUAAUAUAGUAAUUUUAAAAUAUUUUUAAAGAAAAUAUGUAGUUUUUUAUAAUUCGUAAUUGAAAUUUUUUUUAAUGUUUUCCUCAACGAUGUUGUAAUUUAUUUUAGAAUCUUUAUGUUUAUUUGCGUUGUUUAUAUGAUUUUAUUUACAAAUGACUAUAUUUGUAUUUAACAUCAUAUUUUUGAUUGAUGUUAAUUUGAAAGAACUUUACCAUCAUAUUAAAUAAUAAUUAAUUAAUUUUCAUAGUCUGAGUAUGAUUUUUUGAAAAAUUGAAAGUUAAGAAAUAACAAUUUUUACAAAAUGGUAUAAUCAUGUUUUAGAGGAUAAUUGGUAAAUUAAGAUUUUUUGAAAUAUUUUAGCAAGAUUAUGAGUAAAGGUGAAUAGCUCCCAAAUAGCUCCCAAAUGUUUUGGUGAUUGUUAGUUUGACAUUACUAGAUUUAUAUAAUUAACGUUUUAUAACGAAUUUUAAUAAAUAUAUAUUUCAAACCAAAUAAAAUCUCUUUCCAAAUGAAAUUAAUUUCUCUUAUUUUUUCAAACAAAACUUUUGAAAUUAUAUUUUUAUAAUUUAUAAUAAAUUUUAAUUUUAAUUUAAUUUUAAAUAAAGAUAACCCGUCCAUCGGACGGGUACUAUACUAGUACAAUAUAAAGUUUUCACAGCCAUUGAACGCAGAGUACCGAACCAAACCGACCCUGAUUGAGUGAUUGUAAAUCUGGUUAUGGAGAUUUAACGUGCCAAGUCGCGUCUACGUGGAAGAUGAAACCAAAGCAAAGAAUCUUCGAACUUGUUUCUAAGAAAAGUCUGGCCACAGUUAAGUCUAUUUCUUCCACAUCCAAAACCAAGUUAAUGUUUUUAUCUCCCCCAAAGUCCAAUUUCCAAAAAUCCAAAACACCAAAGAGAGAGAGAGAGAAAAAAAAAAACUGAAAACAUCCCAAUGGAUCAUCCUCAACCUUGACAACACGAAACCCUCUUCCCCCAAAUCCCCCAAAAUCUUGGAACAUAGUCAAAAAAAUCACUCCUUGGAAGCGAUCUGAUCGAAUGUCUCAGAACCCAUCAUCACAUCAGACUCGUACCCUCUUCUUCCUCUUAUGUCUUCUUCUAGGGUUUGGUUUUUUCGUUGACCUGGGUCAAUCCCUGAAGGUUCCCUUCAGCGUUAACGAUGUUCUUCCGAUGCUACCUCGUCAAGUCUCGUGGCCCGUUUUGAACAGUUUCCACAACGCUGUGGAUUUGUUGCCGGUUUUUAUUGGGUCCGUUUCUCCUAAUAAUGCGUCUCUUGAGUGGAAAGGUGCUUGCUUUAAUGGCAACGAAGCUCGCCUCGAUAUCACCGGUAGUGAUCGUGAUGUCCCUGGACUCGGCGGUGGCGUUCUCCAUCUCAAAGUUGGUUCAUUUCACUUUCUUAGCUUUUCAUCUUCUUCAAUUACUAUUGUUUAGCUUGUUGAGAUCAAAUAUGUGUUAUACUUUAAAGAUUCUAUGCUCAAAUUUCUUAAAGUUUUUGCCUUUUGUGGUAACAAAUGAAGUUUAAAUUGGGAGAACGUUGUGUAGUUGCUGCUAAAUACUUUCAAAUUAGUUGUUUUGAUGAUAUUUGGGAACGUUUUUGCAGACAUCCAAGGCACAUAGCUUGACAUGUAUGGACCUAUAUGUCUUUGCAACGCCAUACAGGAUCACUUGGGACUACUAUUUCUCUGCUAGAGAUCAUACUUUGAACUUCGAUUCCUGGGAAGAGAAAGCUGAGUUAGAAUAUGUAGGUUUUUGUAUAGUUCCUUAAGAAGCUGUGUGGUGUUUGAUAGUCGUGGUGAUUUAUAUUAAAGUGUACUUUGAAUGUGUAGGUGAUGGAGCAUGGAGUUUCAGUGUUUUUAAUGCCAUCAGGAAUGCUCGGGACGUUGCUUUCUUUGAUUGAUGUGUUGCCUCUUUUCUCCAAUACUGCUUGGGGACAGAAUGCGAAUUUGGCGUUCUUGACGAAACAUAUGGGUGCUACGUUUGAGAAACGGCCUCAACCUUGGCGGUCAACUAUUAAUCCGGAAGAUGUGCAUUCUGGCGAUUUCUUGGCGCUGUCAAAGAUUCGAGGUAGAUGGGGUGGUUUUGAGACGUUAGAGAAAUGGGUGACUGGGGCUUUUGCUGGUCAUACUGCUGUUUGUUUGAAGGAUGAUUUAGGGAAUCUUUGGGUUGGUGAAUCGGGGCAUGAGAACGAAAAGGUAGACUAUAUUCGGAGAAAUUUCCUAAACAUUUCGAGGUUUUCGGAUAGAGAGGGAGAUAUUAACUCUCUUUUUCUCUCAUAGGGUGAAGAAAUCAUUGUUGUGAUUCCUUGGGAUGAAUGGUGGGAUCUGACUUUGAAGGAUAAUUCAAAUCCUCAAGUUGCUUUGCUUCCGCUACAUCCCGAUAUCCGAGCAAAGUUCAACAAUACUGCUGCGUGGGAAUAUGCGCGGAGCAUGUUGGGCAAACCAUAUGGAUAUCACAACAUGAUAUUCAGCUGGAUCGAUACUCUAGCCGAUAACUACCCACCUCCCCUUGAUGCUCACUUGGUACUUCUUAAUCUCUGAUAUUCUUAAAGAUACAUCAUCAUUAUCAUCGUCAUGGUAACAAACAAGUGACUUUGGACAUUCAGGUUAUUUCUGUCAUGUCUAUGUGGACUCGUGUACAACCCGCAUAUGCUGCAAAUAUGUGGAACGAGGCACUGAAUAAACGACUUGGUACUGAGGUAUACAUCUAUUUGCUCUUCUUUACAAAAACCUCUUUAUCUCAUCUGAAUAGGACAGGACAUACAAGAUAGAUAGCUAAGAAUUUUCUGCUGUAUAGGAUCUGGAUUUGUAUGGGAUUCUUGAAGAAACAGCGAGGCGUGGAAUGUCAUUUGAUGAGUUACUCACCAUCCCUGAACAGGAUGAGUGGGUUUAUAGCGACGGGAAAUCAACUACGUGUGUUGCUUUUAUCCUUGCAAUGUACAAAGCUGCUGGUGUUUUCGGCCCUCUUGCUGAUAACAUUCAAGUCACUGAAUUCACAGUGAGUUUCUUUCAAUAUCAAUACAUCACCUUCUUUUUUCUUCCAUUUAAUAUGACUCUUGAGCGUUUUCUUCAUUCUUACUUUCAGAUCCGAGAUGCGUACGCACUGAAGUUAUAUGAGAGUAACCAGACUCGGCUACCGAGUUGGUGCAACACAGAGGAAGGGAAGCUUGACUUCUGUCAGAUUUUGGGUGAAUACAGAAUGGAGUUACCUGGUUAUAACACCAUUGACCCAUAUCCCAACAUGAACCAGAAUUGCCCUUCUUUACCUCCUAAUUACGAGAGGCCUUCUAAGUGUUAGCAAAGUUAAUUUUAAGUGCUGUUUGUCUCUCUCUCUCUCUCUCUCUGUCUGUGUUUGUCUAUUUGUUCAAAGCUAUGACCCUUUUAGUUAGAGGGGAAGAAAACCACGUUUUAAGUACAAUCUUUUGUGUGAAUAUAUGAUAUGAUGAUGGUUUUAUCAAAUCCAAUGGUGUCUGCGUAGUCCCUAGUGCUCUGCUUCAUUUGUUCGAGACCUCUGUUUUUGUGAGAAUGCAAUAGUCAUAACUCAUAAGGCAGAAAACGAAUAAAAGAUGCUAUAGUUACAGUAUUCAUCCAUUUGCCAAGUCUGUUCGAUUUAUGCUUAAACUAUAACCCAAGAGGUCAAUUUGAAGGAUUUAAUAAGAUUUUUGAAGAAUUGACAAAAUGUUCGAACUCAAAGUAUAAAAAUGAACCAACCUAACCUAUGAUUAUAAUUUAGUUGACAGGGACCAGGAAGCUAUCAAACUCAUGACGUCGUUAAAGACGUGUAAGUCGAACAUUUCGUUGAUGGCUUUUCCGACCAAACCAACUCCCACUUGAAACUAAAACAAAAGCAAAAACUUAGUUCAACGUCUUUUAUUUGACUCCACCACCUAGUUCCCUCAAACCGGUUUAUUAGCAUCGGUCAACCUAUCAAACCGGACCAAAUAUUAAUGUUGCACAAGAGUCUUCUUCUUCUACUCUUGAAUCUAGAUGACCUCUGCCAAGUUUGAACGUGACUAAGACCAAUAGAUGUUUCUAUUGGAAUCAUUCACCAUUCUGAUUCUUAUAUUAUAAAAUCUAGAAAUUUGGCAGAGACACGCAAACGAUUCCCAACGACCUCUCACCCGCCAACACAAAACGCAAACGCAGUAGCUUGACCUUAAAUUAUAUGCUUGUUAUAUAUUUUUAAAAACCAUCUUCAAACGGCUUUACCUGUUUUUAGCUUUCAUCUCUAAAUUCUCUCCUAAAAUCCUAAAUAUUACCUCUCUCUAUUUGUUUCUUUUCUACUUUUUUUUUUCUUUUUGGGUGGCUACCUAUAAUCCGAAAACCACCAUGAGGUUUUGCGUUUUCGGGUUUUUAUCGCUUUUCUUGAUUGUUUCUUCACCUGCCAACGCUUGGUUCUUCCCUAACAACUCCACCAAGAUACCACCGUCUCUACGUAACACCACACGCGUUUUCUGGGACGCUUUCUCCAAUUUCACCGGUUGUCACCACGGCCAAAACGUUGAUGGUCUCUACCGUAUCAAGAAAUACUUCCAGCGUUUUGGUUACAUCCCUGAAACGUUUUCAGGUAAUUUCACCGAUGAUUUUGAUGAUGUUCUCAAAACAGCCGUCGAGUUGUACCAGAGGAAUUUUAGGCUUAACGUUACAGGUGAACUCGACGCGCUUACCAUCAAACACAUCGUGAUCCCGCGUUGCGGUAAUCCCGAUGUGGUGAACGGUACCUCGUUGAUGCACAACGGGAGAAGAAAGACCUUCGAGGUCAACUUCUCCCGCUCUCAUUUGCACGCGGUUAAACGCUACACGUUGUUCCCAGGCGAGCCACGGUGGCCUAGAAACCGCCGUGACUUGACCUACGCGUUCGACCCGAGAAACCCCUUGACGGACGAGGUAAAGAGCGUGUUCGCACGCGCGUUUGGUCGUUGGUCGGACGUGACGGCUUUAAAUUUCACGCCCUCUGAAGAUUUUACCUCGUCCGACAUCACGAUCGGAUUUUACACCGGCGAUCACGGAGAUGGCGAGCCUUUCGACGGCGUAUUAGGAACAUUAGCUCACGCCUUCUCUCCUCCGAGUGGGAAGUUCCACCUCGACGCAGACGAGAACUGGGUGGUCUCCGGGGACCUAGACAGUUUCCUCUCAGUCACGGCGGCGGUUGAUCUUGAAUCAGUGGCGGUUCAUGAGAUCGGUCAUCUUCUCGGUUUAGGACAUUCCUCGGUGGAGGAAUCCAUCAUGUAUCCGACGAUCACGACGGGAAGACGUAAGGUUGACUUAACCAAUGAUGACGUGGAAGGAAUCCAGUACUUAUAUGGUGCGAACCCUAACUUCAAUGGCACGUUACCACCGUCCACCCCCACUCGCCAACGAGACACUGGUGCCUUCUUUGGUGCUGCUUGGAGAAUCAACGGUUCAUUGAGAUCGACAAUUUUCAGUUUGUUAUUGUCAACCGUUGGAUUGGUCUUGUUGUUCUUACCUUAGAUAAAAAAUUUUUCGUACUUAAUUUUUUUUUUAAUUAGUAUCACAUCUUAAUUUUUUUUUUUUUAAUUAAAGGAUGGGGAUAUAUACUCAGACAUUUGUUCCUUUCUACAGUUUUCUUUUCACAUAUACAUGUUGUAUAUAAAUUGCUUUAUCAAUGUUUGACUUCGUGUUAUACAUUUUUCUAACCUAUGUUUAUUUAAAACAUUUGUAAGCUUGUCCAAGCCAAUGACUCAAUCGACCGGGGAAUAAGAUGUCUACUCAUAUGCAUGAUUAGAAAAAUACACAAUCACCUUGUCGCGUUUAAGUUGUGUUAAACUUCUCAAUGAUGGUUGGCUGAAUUUAGAGAUUUUAAAACAUGGUUUAGCAAUAAAUAAUUAAUUAUACUUUAAAUAUCAUAUAGUAUUGUACAAUAUAUAACCUCUAUAAAUUAAUUACCCGGAUAAAUAAAUAGUUUUUUCGGUUACGAAUUAAAUUUUCCGAAUGGUUACUAUGUUGAUAAAUAGUGUUGAUAUUAUUAUUAAUUUAUAUAAUUUUUAUUAGAUCUCGAUAUGUUUUGUUGAUAGAUUCCCUAAAGAAAAAAAGAGGACACGAUUGUGAAAAAUAAAUAAAUGGGGUCAAACGUGGAAAUAGUGUAUAAAUCCAAACCCGUGGCGUAAAAUAUUCCUGGUGGGUUGAUGUGUCUGAGCCUCUGUGAAGCCACUAAACGAGUCAGGUCUCUUUGGGUAAAGCGAGUCCGUCACCAACGUCUUCGUCUCCAGCGAUUCUUCUUCACGUAUAUAUAAAUCUUUCCGAUUUGUCUUUUUGCUUUUCGUUUUCCGUUUAUAUCAUCGGGAAAUUUCCCCGGAUACUUCUCCGAUUCGUUUUAAAGCCUUUUUCUACAGGAACCUUUUACUCCCCAUCUGUGAUUUUGGGUAGAUUUGGCUCCGUAUGGUUAGGGUUUGAAGGAGGUGAUUGUGGUUUCGCUCGUUGUUUUAUUUCACUGUACGUUAAGAAAAUUGGCUCCAUUUGAUUUUUUCCUAGGGUUUCUUCCUUGAGUUCUACAAAUGUCAGAAGGUUCGAGACGGAGUCGGGUCACUAUUACUCUAGGGCGUAGCGGUCAGGUACGUUUGAGGUUUUUUUUUUGUUCAUCUCAGAGUUUGUGUGUAAGUUAGGUGGAAGGAAUGUGAUAAAACUCCCAUUGAUGUAAUCUGUGAGAGGAAAAGUUUGUAAAGGAGUUUUUGAUAUGGUGCUUUCAUGAUGUUAUCUGGCUUAUGAGAAGGAUUUUGAGAUUUGGAAAUGAAAUGUAGAACUGUUAUAGGGAUGGUUGGUUAUAUGAAUGAUAUAUGCAAAUGUGUUGGUGUAUGAUUAAUGGGUUGAGUCUAGAAAACUGCUUAUUUUGUUGAUAUUUUCUUUUGCAGGUGGUGAAUCGAGCUGCAAGUGAUUUAGAUGCUGGUUAUGAGUUGCCUAGAGUUGGGACCAAGCGGUCUGUCAAAGAAAGAUUAGGAAAUCAGGUAGAUAGUUCUCUGUAUGGAAGCGAAGAAGUGGUCAGUAAAAGGUGCUUACUUUUUCUUCUUAUGUGUACUGCUGCAUAUUGAAUGUCAGGAUCUUCUUUAUUUGUUCUGUUGCUCUUAUUCUUUUGAAAUCUAUGACCUUUUAUUUGUUCACGGGUUUGUGAAUAGUUGAGUAUCCAGAACUCUGGAGGAACUGAUGGGUUAUGCUUUUUGCUUCAGUUUUCAUGUUUUAAAUUUUCUUGCUUGUUGCUGCAAGGCAUUCACUAGAUUAAAGUUUUUGCUCUUUCUUUGUUUAUGCAGGCAAAGAGGGGAAGCAAGUUUCUGUGGAAAUGGUAUAGAUGUGUGAAUUACUGGAUACACACUAGCAUGUUUGCUGAAUUCUGACCCACCCCUCUUUGUUACUAAGAUUUGCAGAUCAGUCAAAAUGAUCUCCGAUUCAAACUGAUGCAGAAAAAUGCCCAGAAACGAGCUCAGAGCGAUGAAGGUAGCACUAUGGAUCUUCGUGAAAAGCUCUCCAGGAGCGAGCAGCCUCCACGUAGCCUUGAUACUCGACCUCGUAUGGCUGAGCUGAGAGAUGUCCCCUUACCUUCAUCAAGAACUGCUCGUGGUUCCUCUCAGAUGAUUUCAUCAAGUAGUUCGUAUCCUCCAUGGUCCCUGGAAGAUUUAAGACGAAGGUCUCCAGAGAGAUUUAUGGAUACUUCCAGGGGUCCAUCCCCGCCAAGAAAUGCUGGACGUACCAUUGGCAUUCCAAGGGGUCCAUCCCCCCCAAGAAAUGCUGGAAGAUUUAUUGGCACUCCAAGGGAUCUAUCACCGCCAAGAAAUACUAGAAGGAUCAUCGCCUCACCAAGGGAUCAUGACAUUUUUAAAAUAAAUUUUACAUAAUUGGCACUCCAAGGGAUAGAUCACCUCCAAGAAAUGCUGGAAGGAUAAUUGGCACUCCAAGGGAUAGAUCACCGCCAAGAAAUGCUGGAAGGAUAAUUGGCACUCCAAGGGAUAGAUCACCGCCAAGAAAUGCUGGAAGGAUAAUUGGCUCUCCAAGGGAUAGAUCACCUCCAAGAAAUUCCGGAAGGAUAAUUGGCACUCCAAGGGAUAGAUCACCUCCAAGAAAUGCUGGAAGGAGAUUUGAGUCUCCAAGGGAUCUAUCACCGCCAAGGAGCACAAGAAGCUUCAGUAGUGGUUCUAGGGCUCUGUCCCCCACUAGAAAUGUAGGAAGCUACAUGGGUUCUUCUCUGGGGUUUUCACCUCCUAGGAAUCCUGGAAGCUACAUGGGUUCUUCCAGGGGUUCUCCACGUAGUAACAUUGAAGAUUUUCAUGGACGAAGCAGGAUGCUUGAUGAUGUGAGAGCGACACCAUAUACUGUUAGAGGUGUACUAAAUGGUCAAGCCCCAGCAAGUGGUGCUCCUUUCGCCAGGCCAAUGUUACCGCCUCCAGUCCCAAACCCACAUCCGUUGCCUCCUUUGAGCCAGCUUCCUCCACUUGGAAGUAUGAUGCAGAACAAUCCCUUCUCUGUAAGAUCUUUUAUCUACUUCUCAAUUUGUGGAUGAAUUUUCUCUCUUCUUGCUCUUUCUAAACUUUGGGUGAGUCCUUCAUAUGUACCUUGUGUCAUUCGUAGGCCAAAAACCUUUGUGGUCAGAUAGUCCAAACUUUUAUGCCUUGUUCUUAUACAUGUUGUAAUAUGUCAUGUAUAUCUGCUUGGUGUUACAUUAGGUGGAAGAGCCUCUGACUGUUGAUAGCUUUUUACAGUCAAUUGGACUUGGAAAAUACUCCCUUGCCUUUAAGAGAGAGGAAGUAAGUGUGCCAUUAUUUUCUUAUCUUAAAGCUUUGCCACAUUAGCUUUUGUAUUAGGUUUACUACUUUUCAUGUUGGCAAUUCGAAGUGCAGCAGAUAUAAUCACACACACAUAUAUAGAUUGUAUGAAAAUAGUAAUGAAUCUACUGAGAUGAUUAACUAGUUGUCUUGGCUCUGUUUCUGUCAAUAACAAACUUGACUGAUAUGAUAACAGGUAGAUAUGACCACAAUAAAGCAGAUGAAAGAAAGUGAUCUAAAAGAUCUCAUCAUACCAAUGGUACUUUCCCUUCGUGUUCCUUAACGGUCUAAAACAAUUGGGAUUGAUCUGUUCUUUUCAGCAAAUUUGCUGAACUUGGUAAAUAUUAUAUUGAUGCAAUGCAGGGUCCAAGGAAGAAGAUUCUUCAGGCUAUAGCCUCCCUUCCAACAAGGUAGCUAUGACAAAAACACGGAUUUGGCCUCUAGCUGCUUCUCACUCUUUUUGUGGUCUUGUUAGCCUCUAAGAGGAUCGAAACUAUGAUAACUUUUUGAGAUCCAACCCCGAAACUUUUCUCUCCGGAUGAUGAUUGUAGGCAGCAGAACUUUCUUUUGUAAUUCUUCUCUGUUAUGGAUUUUUUUUUUCUCUCUUUUUCCUGGCAUACACUAUUAUGUUAACCCAAGCAGCCUAAUUGUGGAAAUGCGAAGGUGUUGUGGUGUAAUCCAAACACUCUUUUGGUUGGUAUAUAAAUCUCAACGUGAAAGUGAUAGGUUAAUAUUUCUCCUCAUUUAUGUUUCCCCUCAAGUCCAACACCCAUUAAUAAUUUUCAGAGUAUUAAACCAUUGAGAGACUUCCCUUCUUCCAGUGGAACAAACACUGAUGAAAAAUAAGUUUGAGAAGGAACUGGAACGAAGUCUAACUUGGUUUGGACUAUACUUGAGAUAUUAGUAGCUGAGUGGUGAAGAUGCGACCUUAAUAAUUUGCUACUAAUAAUAAAAAAAAGAAAACAAAAGAAUAGUGAAAACGACGGCGUAGUAAGAGAAGAAGUAAUGAAGCAAAGUCCCACAUCGGAUAGGUGAGAGUUUGUUAGAGUGAAAGGUGCAUAUAAAAGAAGGGCUUGGUCCUUUGGUUAAAAAUCACGCAGCCAUGUGGUGAGCACAAAGCGAACUAUUCUUUCGCCUUUUACUAAAGAAUACCGUGUGCUCUCCACGCUAAGUGGCAUACGCCUAUUUUUGGAGGGUUCUCACUUUUCAGUGAGUCCCAACAAUGUUUAGUUAAAUUUUUUAAGGUUAUAACUAAUUAAAAUUUAGCUUGAAUCUAGAUUUUGAACUUCGACCAGUAUAAAUCCAGGUCUCUGAAGUUAAGUUAGUCUUUGAAAAUAUACGAGAACGUUAUAAUAAGUUAAUUACACAAAAUUGACAAUGCAACUGCAAAAUUUCAACAAAAUCAUCAACUGGAUUACUGGAAUGUAAGAACGAUGACAUUAAAGAAAAACAAAUAUCUUUAUUUUUUUUUGAAGUAUCAGAUUGUGGUAUUAUUUUUUGCUAAGACAAUAACUAUUAAGAUGUAAUUAGUAUAAGGAUUCACUAAAGGUUUUAGUGAAUGUGGGUUUUAUGACAAUUUGUGGGUCUUAUAAAGUUUGGUCGUUAUUUUUGUUUUUUUAAAAGAUUAGUAAAAAUUAAAACUCCAAAAAAAAUUGUUUGUUUUUUUAAAAAUUAAAGUGACUCAAGCUAUGAAGGAGAAGAUGGAUAGUAUAUUCCUAGUCACUGAUGUUGUUGAUUUGUCAAAUUCUCUGGAUUUUAGUAUAAUCUUUGUUAAGACAACAACUUUCAAUGAAAUUUUGAAACAUGAGAAAUUCAAUGAAAUUUCAAACAAAAGAAAACAAAUGAAUAAUACAAUAUAACAAACAUAUAUGUAUUUUUUUUUUCUUUAGAGAAGAACACUAUUUUUCUUUGCAUCUAAGUCCAUCAAUGUUCAUAGAUAAGCUGUUUUUAAGUAGUAAAGAGUUAAAAACAUUUAGAGAAGUAAAGAGUUAAAAACAUUUAGAGAAAAACUUUAGUGUUUAUGGAAAGAAGUCAAUAAGAGUUUAAGUAGUAGUGGAAAGAAGUCAAGGAAAGGUUAAUUUAAAAGCAUGUAUGCCUCAACAGUACUAACCAAUAGAUCAAGCUCGCACCUGCUGUCUUAUAGAAGAAGUGCCUUCUUCUCCAGAAUCAACGGCACUUGCUUCGUUGCCAACACCUUCACUUCCUCCUUUGCUAAGACCUUCACUUCCUCCAAUGAACAAACAAAAAUGUGUAUAAUUAAUAAUUUAAAAGUGUUCAAAACAUCAAUUAUUAUAUAAGUGAAAAAUUGGUACAACCUACGUUAUUUUGGAUAACCAUUUGCUCUCUUCACAUAUUAGAGUUUCUAAAGGUAGUGUAAAAUAAAUAAAAAUGUAAUCUAUGUUAAUGACAUGUUCAUGAAUUAGCAAUGUAAUUAUCUAAUAUUUAAUUUAUUUUAGAGAUGAGAUCAACAUUUGCUGACUAUUGACCACACAGAAAAUAAUUUACUUAAAUAGUCUUGAUUACAUAGAUUUUAAUUAAACCAUAGGUCUUGGAAAAUAAAUAAAUUAAUAACAUAAAAUGAUUUAUAAAUAUGUAAACAGUGGUCCUUGAAAUGGGCUGAUAUAAACGAGUCAGAUCUACUCGUUAGAAAAAAAAUGAUUUCUACAAAAAAAUCAAAGCAUAAUGUAGUUAGAAUUUAGAAAAAGUAAGAGAGCAUGAUUAUGAAUUAAGAUUUCUUUAUUUUUCAUACUAGCGACAAAUCUUUUUACAGAAGCUUAUUACCAAUCUCACAAAAAAAAAAAAAAAAAAAAAGAAUGUUGGGCCAAAAGGGUUAGACCUAGCCUAGUUUUAGUGGGCUUUUAUAUUUUUCAUCUGAUCUGAGACUUUUCUCAAUGUCUCCUUUCUGAAGUCUGGUUUAGGGUAAAACCUCAUUUCGUUGCCAUUGCUCUGUUUCUGUAAUCUGUAGUGGUAGAGCUUUGUAAGAGUGCUUGAAGAUGAGCUUAGUUCUUAGAUUCAGACAACAUUUAUCUCAAACCUCCUCCAGAUUAUCACUUCUGUCUCGAAUCGGCGGUUACCGGAGUUAUGCCCAAGCGGCGAAGAUUGAAGAUGAUGAAGAAGAAGAAUUCGAUCAGAGGAAGCUCCCAACAGAUUACGAUCCCGCCACUUUUGAUCCAACGGAGCACCGUAGUCCACCAACGGAGCGUGUGUUCAGACUCGUAGACGAGAUCUCAUCUCUGACGUUAUCAGAAAUCUCAGAGCUCGGUGCGAUUAUAAUGAAGAAGAAAGGUAUGACGGAGCUACCGACCGUCGCCGUUUUGAAACCUGGGGCUGGUGGGAUCGUGGCUGGAUCGGGUCAGGGACAAAGCGGUGGUGGUGGUGCGAGUGAGGAAGCUAAAGUGGAGAAGACAGUGUUUGAGAUAAAGUUGGAGUCUUUUGAUUCAUCUGCUAAGAUUAAGAUUAUAAAGGAGGUGAGGAGUUUUACUGAUUUGGGUUUGAAAGAAGCUAAAGCAUUGGUGGAGAAGACUCCUGCGAUUUUGAAAGCUGGCUUGUCUAAAGAAGAAGGUGAGAAGAUCGUUGAGAAGUUGAAAGCACUUGGUGCUAAAGUUGUUUUGGAGUGAUGAUGUUUCUCGAAGGUCUGUUGUUACUUUUUAAAGCUUCGAUUUUUCUUCUUUUGUUCCAUCUAUGAUGAGCUCAAGAUAAUACACAAGCUGAUUAAUUGGGUUUUGUAAGGUCGUCAUAGGUUACACUUGCUCCUUCUUUCUCACUGCUAAAUUGGUUUUGAUGAGAGAUGAAUCUUUGCUAGUUCAAGAUGUAUCGCAAAAUAAUAGAAAGUGUAGACUUUGUGUUAGUGUGUUAUGAUCUAUCCCAUGGCUUUGAUCUUGACUCAGAAUUCUUACCUUGUUCAUUUUUCUAAUCAAAGUUUGUAGCUUUGGCUCCUUGCAAUCACUUUUGUUGAUACCAGGAUCUUUGAGUAAGAAUUGUUCAGCGUAGAUUCAAACAAAUGACUACGGUUUAAUCAUAGAUUAUGUUAGAAAGAUGAGAUUAUUAGCAGAGGGAAUCCACAUUUAGUAGCAUUACAUUAAGGUAGAAACGAAUUGUUCAUGCGGCCCACAUAUGCAUGGGUGCAAAGAUUUGGAUGAACUUUUGAGAAGUUGUUUAGGUGAUAAGCAACAAACCUGAAUCUUGCUUCAUUUGAUCAUUUCCAUCUGUAUGUAAAGGGCAAAGUUUAGUUCCUGUUCACAAAUGACAUCCACAGGGAGAAAAUGCUAAGUUGUGAUCAUAAAAGGUGUGUAGUCAAGUUUGCUUGAGCAUGCGUCCCCAACUUGAUCACCCACUUUACUUCAAUCGGAUCUAUAAUGAUGCAUGGGUUGUGAUGCUGAGAUAUGUUAAAACAUAUGCUCUAGAAUGUAUAGUGUAAACAAUGGAAGUGAAACUGAGCUUGCAACUGAGAACCUUCUGAAUGCAUCAGAGGCUUCUCUGUAUCAUAGAAACGACACCGUUUGAACUAAACAUAGACUACCUUCUUCUUCAGUUCUUCCCCUCCAUUCUGAGUUUCCGACAUUGAACCAGUGAGUUCUUCUCAAAACUCAUCGAUUUCACUCGAUUCCGAAGUCAAACACAAACUCAGUUGUUUGCAUAUGUUGUCUAUUUUGAUCUGGUUUGAGAACUUCCAUCGAUGCUACCUUUGUUCAUACUGCUCUUAGGCUCAUUAUCGAAUUUCAAAUGGAUGGCUUGUAAAAUGAGUGUUCACGUUGGAAUAUUUGAUGUUUCUUAACAAAGCAAUCUUGUGUUCUUGACUUCAUUAGAGUGUUACUGAUUCGAUUUUUAUAUUUUUUUCUGGAGAUUAGACAAGUAGUGUAGUAGAACAGAUGCAGUUUAGACCUCAUUUUAGGGUUUGCAAUCCAAAAUUGGGGAUUUAUGAUGUUUAUGUUUCGGAUUAUCUUUACAGAAUUGGUUGAAGUGAGAUCUUUAUGCAGUUUUUUUUUCCCUAUGCUGUGAAGUUGAUUUGAUGUACUCCAUAUAAUAUAAUGUAAUUGGGUUUCAAGUUUCAGUUCUGAAAAUGGAUUCUACUUAUGUAGUCUUGGAAGCUUACAGACUAAUUUCCAACAUUUUGUUUGAAUACUCAAAUUGUAUCUGUCACAUUUUUGUGUAGCUGUUCUAGUUUCCAGAGUAAUUCAUCAUCAAUUUUGCUGAACUUGCAUACCCAUUAACUGUUUGACUUCUAUGUUUCGCUGUGAAGUAUAUUUCCAUUGUUUAUCACCGAUGUCUUGUUUCGUUCUGACUUUUGGACACAGGUUUUAAACAUGCUGAGAGAGGAGAGUCCGAAAGUCACUCGCAGAAGCACCAGGUCGUCAUCUUCUGUAACUGUUGAGAAACCAGAACCUAAUGAAACCCACCUACCAACCGUUGAUGAUCUCACGUUUGGGGAAGAAUCAAUCUCGUUGGAUGCUGUUCUAUCAAACUUUCCGGGCAGACGCUCUCAGAUUUUCGACCUUAUUCGUCUUAUGGGUCCGUUGGAUUGCCCUGCCCUUCCAGUAAUGAUCUAUGGAGGUGCUUCUACUGGAAAAACCAGUGUUGUUCUUCAUGUGCUUAGGCAUCUUAAUCGCCCCUUUGUUUAUUCAAGCUGUCGUACAUGUUACAAUCCCCGUAUCUUGUUUGAGUCGAUUCUAAAUCAGUUGUUGCUGCAUAGGAAGUGUUCUCUAAAUGGGUAUUCUAGUGCAAAACGAUGUGACAAGCCAUCUGAUUUUGUCAACUUGCUUCGCGAUGCCCUUAGUAAUGUGAUAGAGUCUCUUGAGUCUGGUUCCGGAACCUCAAGACCAAAUAAGUCGGAAGGAAACCCAUGGGGAAGAUGGUAUACCUAAUACUUGAUAAUGUGGAUCUUAUCAGAGACUGGGACAAAGGCUCUAUGAUUCUGCAGUUUCUUUUCAGUUUGUAUACUGUUUUGAAGAUGCCUCAACUUAGUAUAAUACUUAUCAGCGGACUGCCACCAGAUGUGUAUUACUCAAACAUGGGAUACACAGACCCUCUGUCUCUUUAUUUUCCUGAGUAUUCUGAAGAGGAUCUUCGUCAAAUUUUCUUGCGAAAUCAAGCUAACCGGAGAUUGUACUCUGCGUUCCUCGAGUAAUAGUACAACCUUGCCUCCCUACUAGCUUUCUCUAUCCUUUACUCAUAUUGUUUACUGAUGUAGUUUUUGGUGUGAAACAGCGUUGUGUUGAAACCAUUCUGUAGGGUCACCAGGAGCGUGGAGGAGCUUUGUACUACCUUCGCAUCAUUGUUCAGAAAGUAUUGUGAACCACUCGAUGAUCUAGGAAUUUCACCCAAUGAAGAUAUGAAGAGAAGGCUCUAUAGCAAUCUUAAACCGCUUAUUGCUCCCUGUUUAAAUGAGAUAUUUAGGGUCUCGAGUCACCCUCGUGAUGGUGACACCAGAGGCGAGAGAAGGCAGAAAGCCAGCUGCAGUUCUGAAAACCGUGAAGAACUUGAAAUAUUGGACUUCCAUAUGUCUACCUCAGCAAAGUAUCUUCUUAUUGCAGCAUUUCUCGCUUCGAGAAACCCAGCAACACUAGACGCAUCGAUGUUUGACUCCACAGGGGGCAUGGAUAAUCGUAAAAGAAAGCGGAAGUAAGUUGUCAAAAACAGUGUCAUUAUUUCUCCUUUGACAUAUAGCUUGAUAGAAAAAUGAUCUGAUUCACUGAGUUUAAUAGCAAGUCUAUUAAAAGCAUGUGAUGGUAUGAUGGUGUGUCUUCCGGUGUUGCAUUUGAAUUAAAAAUCUGAUAUUUUUUUACAAUGGUUCCUCUUCAGGGCCUCUGAGAAGUCGAUGGAAAAAAAGGAAAUUGCAGAGCAGGAAGCUGUCAUGAAAGGGCCUGGAAGCUUUCCACUGGAAAGACUAUUGGCGAUAUUCCAGUGUAUUGCCUCCGUGGGAAAUUCUUCAUUUGGCGAAGAGGAAGAAGAAGAAGACGAAGACCCAACGGGCUACGACAAAGAAAAUAACAACCUGAUGUCUGAUAUUCUGCUGCAAGUGUCAAGUCUUUGUGAUGCAAACUUUUUGAUCAAAAGCGGAAGCUGCCCUUUAGAAGGUUCUGUUAGGUACCGCUCUAUGGUCUCUGAAGAUCUGGCUCUUAAGGUAACACUUUAUUUGCAAUUGUUGAGUCAUAUAGCAGAGGGUAAUACAAAAACAAUGCUGAUGCACCAAUUUUUUUUGUGUUUUCCUCUAAUAUGGUUUACAGGCUGCGAGAAGCCUCAACUUUCCAUUAUCCAAGUACUUGUACAGAAGAUAGUGAUAUAUGGGAUUCAUAAACUUAGGGAGGACGAGUCUAACGGUAUAAUCUCUAUUGAGCUCUUGUAUUGUAGGAUUUAGUAUAAUUUUUAGAUGUCCGGGAAACUUCAUAGGAUUGAGAAGCAAUUUUUUUUCAGUUAACUGUGUGGUCUGUAAAUGUAUGUGAAUGAUGUUUUAUUUUUGUAUGUAACCAUUUUUACCAUAGUUUUUACGGCGAUUGAGUUGGGAAUCCAUCUUGGUUUGCUUUUUUUUUUUUUUGUAAUCUCCAUCUUGGUUUGCUAAAUUCUGAUGAUAUGAGACCAGUCUUGAAUCUGGUUUAGUUAGGCUGUUUUCAUUUCUUAUGAAGCAUGAGGAUGAGAUUAAACUUCUCUAUUCAGCUCCCAUCUUUGUGUCGACUUAAGAGUUUCUGUUACUAUUUAGUUUACGUUUGGAACUAUAUAUGAUUACAUCUAUCGUUAAACCUGUCACAUAUGUAUCUAUCACCCAACAAGAUAGUUUCCACACUGAGUAAACUUGGUUUCUAGUAAAGAUAUUGAAAAGCCCUGGUUAUCUCCUCUGUUUCAAUAUCUUUUUGUCUGAUAAUGAAAUCUACGCUAGUUGUUGUUUCCCGAAGAAGAAGACACAAGGAAAAUAACAUAUCCUCAGUUCCUCACAGUAACGUUAUACCCUAUUCCUGUUCUUCUCUUGGUCUUGUAACACUUUUACAAGAACAGAACGAAGAUGGCUCACUACUAGCAGUUGAUAAAGAUUAUCUCAACAAAAAAAAUUGAUCACGGAUCAUUCAUCAUUCGAGGUUGAAGCAACUUUUGCAGCAUACUUGACUAAGACACCGGUUAAGAGAGCCUUCUCCUUCACCUUUAACCUGUGAAUCAUAAUUACAGAAAUCAAUCAGUUUAUGUAGAGAUUCUACAUUGGCAAACAUUGUUUUAGUAAACUACAAUGCAUUGUUUACCUCUUUGAAGAUCCAGGGAUUUCUAUCUUUGCGCCCUUUUUAGCUUGCCCUUUCACAAGAAUCUUUUUCUUCUUCUUCUCCUUCUUCUUCCCUUCAACUCUAGCGGGUUUUGCUUCUGGUUUGUCAAAGCCAGUUCCUCCACCCAAAAGUUUUUCUUUACCGAGAAGCUUCUGCUCCAGCAUGCGAAUUCUAUCUACUCGAUUUUCUUCUGAGGAUGACAUUAAACUGUUCACAGGUUCCAGAUCCUCUUCAGCAACGUCUUCUUCGUCAGCCCUUUCGAGUUCAUCAUCCGAGUAUGUUUCUGCUACAGCUUCCUCAUAUUGUUCAUCAUCCAAGCGUGUUCCUGCUACAGCUUCCUCGGAUUUAAUUGCCUGGAAUGAAACUAAACGUGUUUCUAAUUCGUCCUGUUCCUUACUCUCUUGCUCCACAACUUGCUUCUGUGACUUUAACUCGGUUUUCGAAUCACGUCUCAGUUCUACGGGAGAUUCUACGCUACCAGAGAUAUGAUUUGGUUCAUCUUCUUCAACUUCCAAUUCAUCUCCAUCUGAAUCAUCAGAUUCUUCCAAUGAAUCCACGAAAGCCUCCUCUUCUUCAACAACGUCAUCUGCAUCAGAAACUGCUUCUAAACCAGAAUACGGAAGUUUCUGUACCUUGAAGCCGUUAUCAAAGUAUACUUCCUUUGACACUGAUUCAUCUGAAGAAAACUCCACAACCUGACAUUUGAUUUGCUUUAUAACCUUUCCAAAUGCUAAGCUCUGUCCAUUGAACUGUUUCACAAACCUAAGAGAAAAAAACCCAAACUUUGCCUCAGUACCAAAGACAGAAAUGCUAAUUUACAAACAUCACAAGUUUCUCGUACCUAUUUGCAUCAAUCUCACUUUUGAAAUCAACAUGAGCAAAUCCCUUACAAACAGGAUCCUUAGUCUUCUUAUUCCCUAACACAGCUGGUGUAAUGCUCAAAACGCCACUUACUUCUUUAAACGCAACCUUAAGAUCUCUGUGAACAUUCUUCUUCUUAGGAAGAUUAGUCACACGAACACGAAACCCAAUUUGAGUCUCUCCAGGUCCUUUUCAAUAUAACAAACACCUAAAUGAGCUUCCCAACUACAACUAAAUCGAAUUCAAAAAUAGUGAGAAAAGAAAAGUUGAAACCUUUGAUGAGCUUAUCGUCACGCUUAAGCUGCUGUGACUUGAGAGGAUCGUUCUUAAGCUUAUUGAGAUUAGCAGCUUGAGCUUUCCAACUCUGCUCAAUUUCGUCGAGCAGCUUAUCUUCAAUCGAAGUUUCGUACUUUUUACCUAACCCAAAUCCACGAGGCCUUCUCUCUAACCAUUUCUUCAUCUUAUCCACUGGCAAAAACUCUCCUUCAUCUUCAUCUUCUUCUCCUUCACCUUCUUCAUCGAAUUCACCCCAAUCCCCAUCUUCAUCCUCAUCUUCAUCCUCAUCCUCCUCAUCAUCUUCCGACACCAUACGACCGGAAUCGCCACUUCGUCGCUUGUUUACGGCGAAUAAACGAAACCCAUUACUCCUUUUGACAACGACUGCUCUAAAACUCUGUCGAGUUCUAUGAGAAAUUGAGAUAAACGUAGACGUUGUAAAUGAAGAAGACGAAGAAGCGAAGCAACACGGUGACUUUAAACGAGAAAGAGAAUGAGAAUGGAGCAAAACGGAAUUGCAGAGUGAAGCUCCGUUCAUGUUUUUGUGUUUUUCGUUAUCUUCUUCUUCUUCUUGGUCUCUCGGCGGAGGAAACUGUUCAAUCCGCAAAACAAAGCGUCAAGCGACUUCAAGAAAAAGGCCACUAAUGGGCCUUAUUGGGCCUCAAUAAAAACACCCAUUAAUUUGGAAUGCGAUCCAUUAAGGCUCAAUCAUAAUAACUUGAUGUAACACAAUUGCUAUGUUUGCUUGCUUACAAUUAGCAUGGCUGACCAUGGAAUCAUAUAAAAUCAUUGAAAGAUGUAUGAAUAUAACUGAGACAACACCUUUCAAAGGCCCCCAUGUUUUCAUGAACUUCAAGGUAUGAAGUAUUUGUUCGUUAUCUCACUUUUUUUUAUUUUGUUGCUAAUGCUGAUUUGAUUAGCUAUGACAAAUCAAAGGACCCAGCUCUGAUACAUGGAUGGAAGUUGUGAGAAUUUCUCAUGAAUAAAAAAUAAAAGACAGAACAAAAGCUGAAGAUAAUAAGAAUUUUAAAAAGUAAAAUUAAAGUUUUUUAUAAAAAAAAAAAACAGAGCAGAAAAUACAAAAAAUGCUAGGCUGGGUGUAGACCCAUUGGAGGGAUGGGGGAGGGGAUUAAGCUUUGUAUAUAUUUACAUGUCUAUUUUGUAAAUUGGACCAUUCUUGAUUUGAAGUCAUUAGAGAUCUAUCUCUCAAUGGGACCAAUUCUUCAUACAUGUUGGUCCGUUACACAUGUUUCUGUUUUUGUUUACGUAUCUUAUACUUUAAGAAGACAUACGAUUAUAUAUGUUGUGUAUUAUAUGUACAUGACUACGUACCUCCAUAAAAAUACAUGCAUAUUGCUUAUUGCACCCAUCUAAUUUCGACUUUCAUAUAUAUAAAUGUGUUCGUCUUAGGAUUUGGUUUCAAAUACCAUGCACCAACCAAAAAUUUAAUCAACCUAUUACUUGAGUAGUAUUAAGGAGAUAUACUAUAACAUAUCUCAAUGAAAUAAAUGCAACAUAUCAGAAGAACUAUAAAUGUUAUAAUAUAGUCAAACAUGCGUCGAGACUUUUUCAUUUAAGAGGCUCCCUAUCAUUGUUACUUUAGUCUUCAUGAAUAUUAAUGUUAGGUUGAGUUGAGUUGGCCUACACUAUAUAUGGAGUUAUAAAGUCAGUCAAUUUAGUCAAUAGAAAAUAUAUUUUUUCUGGUUGCUAUUUCUAUCAUCUUUAUGAAGUUUAGUAGUAGUAAAACUUUAUAACUUUUAAGGAUGUAAACGUGUUUAUAAUAAUGUCACUUAUAUACAUACUAUAUAGAUUGAAAGUUGAAAACCACGAUGCAUAUGAUCUAUAACUUAGAAAAAGAAUUGUAGAGUUUUUGAUUAAAGAAUAGACUCAGUCUAUCAAGCCGCCAUAGUAGUUAAUUUAGUCUCGCAUAAAGAUAGUAGAGUUCUAUUUAAGAUUAGACCAAACUAAAAGAGCUUAGUGGGUAGUUAGAUAAGCAGCAACUUAGGCAAUAUGAACAAAUAACAAUGAUAAUAGCUAUACGAAGCUUUUGAAUGUACUGUGUACAUAUUAUCAUAUAUAUAAAAACACUAUUACAUUCGCAAAUAUGUGUGUAUAUUAUCAAAAAGGUGUGUUUAUAUUAUUUGAUAUGCUUUUUUAAGCUUUGAAGAAAAGAAAAAAACACGAUUGAUCUUCAUUACCGAAAUUAAUCCACUUUGAUUAGGUUGAAAAUCGCAGAAGAGAUUCAUAUGACUUAGAUAAAGUAAAAGAAUAUUAAUGUACUCUAGUCAAUUUUAACCUAAAGUAUUUGAAGUGAUAUUCUCUGAAAUCUGUAUAUAUUACUUUCAAUAUAAUACGAAAUCCGUUUCAGUUAUUAUGUUUUCACUCUCCUACGUAAUAAUAUGCACGUCGUAUUAUUAUUAUUAUCAUUUUGGUGAUAUCUGAUGCAUGUCCCAUUAUUAUGUGUUUAAGUACGGAUUGUUUUCGUACCAUUUUACAUUUUUUUAUAUAUACAUUUUAUUUAUUUGUUUCGGUAUAAACAAUAUGGCGUGGUAAUGUGAUCAUUAAGAAAUACAUGAAGUCAUGAACCAUCAAAAACUAUUUCCUUAAACUCUAAAAGCAAAUUAAUUUUAUAUAAUACAAGGAUAAAACUGAAUUUUUUUAAUAUUUACGUAUAUAUGUAUAGAAUAUUAAAUUCAAUACUAAAAGUGAUUUCUAUUAGAAUCAUCGUUACAUUAUUAUUUGGGUUGAUAAUCCGCAUGUUAUCAAAAAUAUAUGUUUUAUCUCAUAUUACAAAACAUUAUUAUAAAAAGACUAAACUAUCUAUCUUUCUUAGAGAAAUGAUGACAUGGGACUAAAUUUGAUCGGAGCCUAUACUCCACUAAACUCUAGAAAGAUAUAGAGAGGUUAUUUAAACAAAAGGAAGAAGAAGAUGAAAAAAGAGGAUCGAGACUAAUAGAAAUAUAUGUAACAAUGGACAAAAUAUAUAUAUAAUCGUGUGGUAUAGCGAGUCAUAAUCGGCCAACGCCGACCAAAGUCCAAAAAGACAAAAGAUGAAAAAAAGUGUCCAUUUGAACAUCUCGUGUGUGCAAAUCUCGAUGGCAACUAGUACCAGAUUUGCUAAUGGUGUUUUAUUAGUUUUUAAGAUUCUUGUUUUUGGGAUUUAGUUCGAAUGGUACGCAAACUGAAGUAUAGAUUAUAGAGCUAUUUAGAAGAUGUGACAGUAAAAAAAAACCAUACCUUUUUAUAUUGGAAGCUAUUUUUGUUAUGGCUAUAUAUACUAUCUUCAAAUUAAUGGCAUGCAAAAAUAACAUAUUUUUUAGAGAUCAACAAGAUUGUAACUUAUAAUUAUCGCAUUUUGUAAAUAGUUUUUUUUUACAACUAAGUAAAGUCUAGCUUUUGCAGUAUAGAUAUAUAUUUUUAUUAUACUGAAGACUUCAACCUUAAGAAACAAAAUAAAAUUUACUUCAACUAUAAGAACAAAGUGGACAUCAAAAUAGAAAAUCUUGUAGUUACUGUAUAUACAGUGAUUGUGAAAAAUAUCACUAUACAUCACUCACUCAUCUUGCUAGUGGUUGUAUCUGGAUAUGGUAAGAAAUUGAAAAAAACUAUGUAAUAAAUCGGAGUCUUGGAACUCAAAAAGUUAUCUACCAAUGAUCAAAGAUAGGCGUCAAUACUCAAUAUCAUUGCAUUGAAAUUGGUCUCUUCAAUGAUCUGAGUUCACCUAUUUCCCAAUGUUUGAUUAUUCAUUUUCAUGAUCUUCUCUAACAGGUGUGAAUUUAAGAAAUAUUCCUCAAGAUUAAUUAAAUGUAGCAACAGCAAACAGAAAAAAAAAAAUUCAAACAUAUAUAUACAUACAGUUGAAAAUGACUCAAACCACUUGUUAACUAUUCAUUACAUUUCUAGUAAAAAUCAACAUGGGCUCAUGAUCAUCAACUCAUCAUUGUACAUAACAUAAACAUAUACACAUUGCUUUGAUUACAUAUGUCAAUAAGGUCCGAGUUGACUAUGCUACAGGAGAAAGAAAAAAAACAUUUCUUAACGAGUAUCAAAUCAAUGUGACGAUGAUAUAUAUAGUAUAAGAUCAUGUCUAGUGAUAUCAUGUACGUACUUUAGAUCUGAAAACAAACCAUUCAACAACGACCUUUGACUACAUGAGGGCAAAUAGCUAGCUUCCCCCCAAUGAAUCGUAUUGCAUGAUUUGCUUCGAGAAAAUAUACAAAGACAUUAACAAAAACGACGAACCCUACCACGAGAAUGUAGUGUCAGUCUCUGAUAAAUUUGUUGUAGGUUGGGAGGUGCAUAUUUUCCCUCCUUUUAGAAUUUGAUUUUCUUGGCUUCAUUAAUGUGUUAAUAAAUAAAUAAACAGAUCGAUACUGCAUGACAGAAAAAAAAAUGUACAUAUGUAAUAUAACUGUGAAAAUGUGGAUGCAAAUCUGAAUGUAUAUAUGCCAUAUGUCUACCUGAACAGAUAUAUGAAUUAGUAGACCAAUGAGCCAUAAGAUAUAAAUAAUGAAUAAUGUUUCGGCCAAGGAAAAGUUUCUUAUUUGUUCUAAGUUUACUUCAGUGCGAUCAUAUCACAGCAGAAUUUAAUAGUAAUUUUUAUACUUAAUGGAUUAUUGAUUUGAAGAACAUUAUAUACAAAAUAAGUCAUGGUAGUACACACUAUCAUUUGUACGUUUCUACUAAAUAUCUCGAGAUGAAUUAUAAUGAUCACUACGUUAAACCGAGAUAUUAUCCUGAUUAAAGUCUAUAAUCUAAAUCGAAAGAGCAAAAAAAAGAAACAUAGAAAUCACGUGUAUAAGAAAGUAACUAAGGGAGUGAUUAGAAACGAACGGGCCAAUGAUUUAACACUUUUAUGGCAUAAUUCAACCAUUACGGGAGAUAUUAUGGACAUAUUGAUACAAAAAGGAAUGUGAAGAAAAAUCUCAUAUGUUCUACGAAAAGGACUUCCACUACUCUUUUCUUUCUUUCCCAUACGCUCCACACCACUGUUUCUCUUAAUCUAAUUCAACCAAUCUGUGACUCAAACUCCUAAUUUUAGAAUUUAGAGAUAUAUGAUGAUUAGGUAACCUCUCUCUUUAACCUUUCUUGCUGGAGAUUUUACCCUUCUUCCCCUGCAUUUGAUAUUUUAAAAAUGACACUGUAUGGUUAACUAAAGAAAUUAGUACUAUGAUUAUCGCAUGUAAAUGCAAAAGUUCAUUUUAUAUAAAGUAAAAUUAAUUUGACUAGAAAAACAUCACUAAAAAUGAUAAAUAAUAAUGUAAAUACAAAACAAUUAAUUUUCAAAACUUCAAAUUGCCUCAAAUGGGAGCAACAUAAAAUAUUAGUCUCACAAUUCGCAAAGCAAAACAAAAUUAUCACAUUCAAGAAAUAAUAAAAUUUUAAUUUUUUUUUCAAUGUAAAUGUUUUGAAUGAAACACUCGAAAUAAUUAAAAAAAAAUUUUGAUUAACCCAUUCGAUAAUUUUUUUUAAAUCGCUAACCAAAAUUGUUUUUCAAAUCUUAAUUAAUACGUAAAAUGUUUCUCCUCAACCGACCAAAAACAAAUGAUCCAACUAAGAGAACCACGGUUUUAAUAACCCAGGCCCAUUAAGCUAAUCACAAAAAUUAACACAUUCCACGUCACCAUUUUGUUUACUUCAGAAAGAAAAAAAUACGGCCUUCUUCUCUUCUCUCUAUCUUCACGAGUAAUGUGCAAACAAAAACGUACAAUUUCAGCUGCACUCUGUAAUGUAUUUGUACUCACACUCAUGCAACGUCUUAACCUGCCACGUAUUACGUAACCUUUAUACCAAUGCUUCUUUCUAACCUACGCAACUCUGCUUUAGCGCACGUUAGUCACAACCAAUGAAACAACUCUAAAAAAACCCAACGAACGAAACGAACCACCAUUCCCCGUCGAACAGUCCCGUUUCCCCGGGGCAUAACGGAAACGGUAACCGUCUCUCUGUUUCAUUUCCAACAACACCCAUUUUUUUAAUUUUUAAUUAUUUAUUAAUAAAAUAAAAAACUCAAAGCUUGCCGAUGUUUAUUUAUACAUCCAAACAAAUGAAUAUGUUAAAAACCCCUUCUUCUUCUUCACAGUUCACACUCUCUUCUCUCCACCACAACUCAAAAUAUUCAAAUUUCUCAUCUCUCUUCUUCUAGAUCUCAUCCAUUUUUUUUCCCUUUCUCCGGUUUGUUUUUGUUUUCGGUUAUGGAGAGAUCAGAAUGAGGAGCCGCCGCCGUCUCGACGACUGUAUACUCAUGGAUUUGUUCUGCGGAGAAGAUUCCGGCGUGUUUUCCGGCGAAUCGACGGUUGAUUUCUCGUCUUCCGAGUUUGUUGAUUCGUGGACGGAUAAUGAAUCGAUCGCUUGUUUCAUCGAAGACGAGCGUCACUUUGUUCCUGGUCAUGAUUAUCUCUCUAGAUUCCUAUCUCGAUCUCUCGAUGCUUCCGCUAGAGAAGACUCCGUCGCUUGGAUUCUCAAGGCGAGCUUGCUAUUUCACUUUUUUUUUUUCCUUCUCUGUUUCAAAAUGAAUUUUUAUUAUCCUUAACGCGAAUAACGACUGCCUAGAAUACGCCGAUCGAGUCGUUUACAUGCAAAGUCCAACUAUGUGCUAAAAUAAGCCCUCAGAGUGGUUUAUUUGACUGUGGGUUUUGUUUGGUUACAGGUACAAGCGUAUUAUAAGUUUCAGCCUUUGACGGCGUACCUCGCCGUUAACUAUAUGGACCGGUUUUUAUACGCUCGUCGCUUACCGGUAAGUUUUUUCUUCUAAAACGUCAACGUUAAGUUAAUAUGCUCUGUUCUUUAUUCAUAUUGAUAUGACAAAUAACACAACUAAAAAAACAAAUAUUAUUUCACUUUUUUUUUUCUACGGUUCGAUUUUUUUUAUUGACUUUUCUUCAGAAAAAAAUGAAAACGACUUGGAGAUUUAUAAAAUUUUACUUGGGGAUAAAAUGUUAUUAGAACACUAAUUAAACGUGAUUAAUUUAAUAUAUUUGGAAUGUACGUAAAAGUGAUAAAACAGGAGCGGGGUGUUUUUUUUUUUUUUGUAUUUUAUGAUAUUUAACAUUUGACGUUUAGAUAAUAAUAGUAUACUUUUUGCAGUAAAACUUUCCACUUCAUAUACCGGCUUUAUUAAAAACUUUAUAAUCAUAGUGUUAACACGCUCUCCUCUACUAUUAUAGUACUAUUUUUUGAGUUAAUUAAUCUUGUAAUUUAAUGUAAUCAAAAUGAUUAUAGUACUCAGCUUUUGUUAUCUGUAAAAAUAGGAAACAAGUGGUUGGCCAAUGCAACUUUUAGCAGUGGCAUGCUUGUCUUUAGCUGCUAAGAUGGAGGAAAUUCUCGUUCCUUCUCUUUUUGAUUUUCAGGUAUAUCUUCAAUAAUCUGAAGUAUGCUCUGUUUUUUAAAGAUCUCUUUUGAUUCAUGUGUAUGUGUCUUAAAUGUAGGUUGCAGGAGUGAAGUAUCUAUUUGAAGCCAAAACGAUAAAGAGAAUGGAACUUCUUGUUCUGAGUGUCUUAGAUUGGAGACUAAGAUCCGUUACACCGUUUGAUUUCCUCAGCUUCUUUGCUUACAAGAUCGAUCCUUUGGGAACCUUUCUCGGGUUCUUUAUUUCACAUGCCACUGAGAUUAUACUCUCCAACAUAAAAGGUACGUGACGUAAUGUAAUGUUGUAUGGUACGUAAUGUAUGUCAUAUUGGGUUUGGUUCUAACAAACGGAAAUGUUAGUACAGAAGCUAGCUUUCUUGAGUACUGGCCAUCGAGCAUAGCCGCAGCUGCGAUUCUAUGUGUAGCCAACGAACUCCCUUCUCUAUCCUCUGUUGUAAAUCCCCACAAGAGCCCUGAGACUUGGUGUGAUGGAUUGAGCAAAGUAGGAAACUGUUAUCAUCACAUGAUUUGGAUGGAAUAGGGGAGAGAGAGUAUCAUAAGUUCCUAAUGUGUUUUUUUAAUUUUGGACUUUGUAGGAGAAGAUAGUGAGAUGCUAUAGGCUGAUGAAAGCGAUGGCGAUAGAGAAUAACCGGUUAAAUACACCAAAAGUGAUAGCAAAGCUCCGAGUGAGUGUAAGGGCAUCGUCGACGUUAACAAGGCCAAGUACUGAUGAAUCCUCUUUCUCAUCAUCAUCUUCUUCUUCUCCUUGUAAAAGGAGAAAGCUAAGUGGCUAUUCUUGGGUAGGUGAUGAAAAAUCAACCUCUAAUUAAAUUGUGGGGAUCAGUGAGAGAGAGUAGAGAGGACCAAAGAAACAAAACUCUUAUGUUUUCAAGUAGAGUAUAUUUUUUUACAAAAACAAGUACAUAAUCAUAAUAAAAGGGAGUGAUGAAGUAGUAAAAAAAAGUGUUUAUUGGGGUGAGUAGAAGUAAUUAAGAGUGUUUCCAUCCAAGGGGAAGGGAAUAAGAGUUUUUGGUUACAACUUUUAUGGAAAGGGUAAAUUGGGAUUUGGGGGUUGUGUUGGUUGGGUUUGGUUGAUUGGGUGGGAGAGACAAAGCUCAUCAUUAAUGGCUUUGCAGAUUCCCAAGAAAAGCAAAUGAGUGUAGACCACACGUGUAAGAGAAGAGAAUGAUCAUGUGAGUGGUGUAGUGUGCGUGUGAGAGAGAGGUACUAGCAUGCAUUAGAGAGUGAGUCCUAAUGAAACAGGUACACUGAUGGAUAAGACAGGGAGGAGCGUUUGAGAAAGAAGAUGUUUUUGAGUGGAGAGAGCUCUUUGUCUUAAUGGAUCGCAGCAGUUUAUGGACCCCCUCACCUUCACCUUCAGCUUCUCAUCAUCAAUUACAAAAACAAAUUCAAGUUGCUGCCAGUAUAUAUAUAUAUCUAUAUGUUUCUUUUUUGGAUCUUUUUAAGAUUUUUGAUUCCUUUGUGUGUGUGUGCGACUUCACGUGCCGGGAGGCGUGUGUCUCGUCUCACUCACGUGUUUGUUCUGUUUUUUUUUUUCUUUCUCUUCAAAUCUUUUAUUUUUGGCAGGAAAUUUUGUGGGUUUUUUUUUCAAUUAUAUACGUAUUCGUGUGGACUCAAAAUGAGUUUUGUCACGGUACGUUUUUUCGUAACGUAUGCAUGCGUGUAAGGGUGUCACGUGUGUGUAUAUAUAUAUUUAUGAUUUUUUAUUUGUUUUGCUUCAUAUAAUUGUGUUUAAAUAAAAGAAUGAAGAAAGAAAAAAAGUACAUGGAACUAUAUAAAUAAUGAUCUUUGUCAAUAGACGUGUGAGGAUAAUACAAGAGUGGAGAGAAUUUGACAAUGGAGUGGCCUGUGGGAGCACAAAGCAUGUGAACAUGUAAGUCGUCGUAGAUCGAGUAUAUGUUUUUAUUGAACGACGAACGUAUAAAAACAAAAACAUAUUUUUUUUUAUAUAGUAUAUAUAUAAAAUUGCCUAGACUAUCUGAUUUUUACAGCAGUGGAAAACAAAAGAAGUAAAAAACAAUGGUUAAAAUGUGUUCGUUGGUUUUUAGUAAAAGAGGAGGAGGAGGAUGAGAGAACAAUUAAUAGGAGCAGUAGAAUACAUGUGAGGUUGAUCUGUCUUCAUGUCAGAGAUAAGUGGUCUCACCACACCACGAUCGAUAAAACCAUAACGUAGCUACACCGUUCUAUCUCUCGAACCCCUCAAAGAACAGCCCCUCACAAAAUUACCAUAUCUUUGACUAUCCCAUAUAUAUGUGUAUGCACACGAUUCUAACGAGUAUAGAGCAAGAGUUGAAAGAUGAAAAAAAAUAAAACAUUAACUAAGUUAGUUUGUUUGAUUUUUUGCCGACAGAUGUGAACCCCACGUCGAGACAAUGUCUCCAUCUACCUAAUUCUAAAUUAAUUAGUUUAAUAAGCAGUGUAGUACUUUUUAUAUAAUACGACUUAUCUAUUUUUCCAUCAACGACAUUAUUUGAUCGUUCUUUCUCCAAUGAACUAAUCACGCGUCUCAUAUAUGCUUUACACUAAUCUUUUUCUUACUCACUUACCACUACAAAAAAAGAGUAUAUUGUAUCACUUAAAUUGUAUCAUAAAGUUAAGUGAUGUUAUUUUAAAUUGCUUAUUCAUAAAUGAAGCAAAUAUACAUGACUAAGCAUCAAUUGUAUUAACUGAUGUUAUAAUUAAUUAAUUUGACAUCAAUUAAAUAAAAUUGAUUCAAUUUCUAUUAGUUUGUAUCACUUUUAUAUGAUUGAUAAAAAAAAAAAAAAAUUACAUCAUUUAGAUAAUUGAUGUAUCUAUUAAUUGUUGGUAAAAUCACUUUUAAAAUGAUCCAAAAUUAACAUCAAUUAAAAAAAUGAUGUAAAAGUAUAUUUUAUUAAUUACACUACUUAAUAUAUACAUUUAAAAAAAACAGAAGGUAACGUAAAGUAAAACUGUAGAAUUUUGUGUCACUUUUUUUUUUUAUGAUGCUAAAUUCUUUAGAAUUUUACAUCAGUUUCUUUUACAUGAUGUUAAAUUCUUUAUGUUCUUUUUUCUCUUUUUAUUUUUGUAACCACCCUUCCUGAUUAUAUAUUUUUUGGAAACAGAAUAUCUUUUUUUUUUUUUUUUUUUUUGAACACCGGAAACAGAAUAUCUAUUUUUCAUAUUUCCCACUAAGUAAAUCAAAUACAAAUCUGUAGAAAAUCCUAACACUUCUUCUCAUAUCUUAACUUUGGAACGAUUAGAUGAGGAACAUACACAAAGAGAUUGAAGACGAAAAUCAAAAGACGCUCAGAUGCACAUGAUAGCUUUUUCUUUGUAAAGGUAAAUGAUCUCUAUUAAUUUUUUUUUUGGAAGAGGGUUGGUUCUUCUGUCUCUUAUAUAAUUUAUUGACUCUAAAAUAUCUGGUUUUGUUUUAGGAUCAGUUUCCAGAUCCGUUCUGCAAGACCGUCACACAUAAAUUUAAUAUGAACCACAUACACACGCUACAUUGAAUCUCAUGGAUGGAGAUUGAAGUAAGGUGAAGAUUGCUUGGAUUACUUGUUCAGGAAAGGAUUCUUCAAGUUACAAGAAGAGUUUUUCAAUCUUCUGGGUUCCAUAGUUAAUUUGUUUAGAUAUGAAAUCACUUUGUAUAUAGGUUUGAGAUUUAGGUUUACAGUUUUAAGCAAUGUAUUCGUUUUUUCUUCAAUGGAAUUUAAGUUUUUGUUUUUUCUAAUUUCAUUUUAUACAAUAUUAUUUUUAUUUAUUGUUACUGAUUAUCGGAAGUGAUACAAUUAUUAUAAAUGUUUAUAAUAAUUAACACUAAUUUUAACAUCAGAUAUUUGUAAUGAUAUAAAUAUUUAACAUCAAUUUUUGUAAAUGACACGAUAAUUAGAAUCACUUAAUUCAAUUGACACUAAUAUUUACAUCAAUUAUUUAACUGAUAUAAAUAUUUAACAUCAGUUAUAUUAAUUGAUGUAAAACUAACAUCAAUUAUAACAACCAAUGCAAAUAUUAUCUAUAAUUACAUCAGUUGUUAGAGAAAUGAUAGGAAUUAUUUGCAUCGACCGUUUUAAAAUCAUUUACUGAAGUGAUGUAAAAAUUUUUGGCAUCAGUUAUAAGUAAUACAAAAAAUAAAAAUAAAUGAUGCAAAAUGCUCAUUUUUUUGUAGUGUACUUAUCCAUAGGAUGUUACAAACGUAUCUUCUGACGACGCUCCUCUUCUGUUUUUUUAUAUAUAUAGCAUUACUCUAGUUUACAUCACUUUCCCCCAUAUUUCAAGUUUUCAACCAUACACUCAUCUUAACAUAAUUAUAAUAUUUCAAAACAUGCACUGUUACCAGAUUUUUUGAAACUGUUCCACUCAAAACGUACGUAAGGAACUGUGUUACACUCUACUUUUUUUACUCCCGUACUAGAGUCCAUCAGUAACUUUUUUCCUUUUCACAAAAAAGUUGGUAUGAUUUGUAAAAUUCACGACACAUGAAUUAUGAAUAUAAAUGGUAUGUUGUAAGAGCAUUGAUAUGACAUGACAACCCUCAGGGUGAAUCAACCAGAUGGACUUAUAAAUAAAUAAAAAUACGUACAAGAUAACUAUUACAUGAAUAUUAAGAAAGAAUAGAAGCUUCACCCACUACUGUUUAAUCUAAAACAUGAUGAAGCAAAAGUUUAAGAGAGACUAUGUAUGGAUUGGUUAGGUGAUUAGCAACUGCUAAUUAUAAAUAAAUAAUUAGUAGCCCACGCAUUUGGACAUAUUAAUCAUCGGGAUUACCUCCAUCAUUCUUUAUUUUAACUUUUUGUUUGUUUUUUAAUCAUCCUCUUUCGGGUUUUGAUUAGGACACACUGGGACACCAAAAGGGACCGAACCUUAUAUUAUCCAGCGUAUAAAGACAUUCAUCUUUUAAUUACUAUCUUAAUUCAUUAUUUGUCCUGUUAUAGUUUUAGUUUAGUACACGCGUCCGUCAUUAAUUGCAUAAAUAUCUAAACUCCCUUUUUCUUAUAUGUACACUUCACAAUGACUUAAUUAACCAAACACAUUAAUGUACAAUUUUCUUAUAGAUAAUGGAUAAUGACAUCUGAUGGGAAUGGUAUAGAGACAAAAACAAAAUGAAAUUAUAUGACAGAAUUUGCAUUCAUUAUAGUUUAUAGAAAAUGGACAGAUUUAUCAGUAAUAAAUUACACAUGUAGGUGAGUGUGAGUAUCUGUGUUUAAUUAUAGGCGCACGUAGAUCAUGUUAGAUGUGAGUUGGAAUAAAAUCAGAAAGACUUUGCUUUCUCAACUAGUGUUUAAAGUGAAGGAUCCUAGGAGUAGAUUUUUCAAAAUGAUACGCAUAUAUAUACAGUAUAUAUAUAUAUAUAUAACCAACCAUAUCCUAUUUCAGCAAUCAUAUUUCAUAUAUACCUAUUUCGAUAAUGUCUUCAUUAUACAUCUUUCUAAUUCACUACUCAGCUUAAGUAUACUACAUACAUACUCUUUGAGUACGUAAUGGGCUUUAAGCACAUACAAAAGCAUGUUUUAACAUCUUAUUCUCAAAAGCGAAACAAAAGAAAGAAAUAAGAGGGAAUAUAUGCUGCCUAGCUAGAACAUGUAGAAACAAAGUUUGCACAUGGAUUCUUUCUUUUUUGCCUUUAGUCUUUAGAGAAGAAGAAGAUACACUUAUAUAUUCAUUAAAAUAAUCAAACUUUGGAUGCUUGAAAAGUAGUAGAAAGAAAUAUAUAUAAAGUGACGAGACGAUAUUUUUAAAGAAGGAAUCAUUAAAAAAUAUAUAUAUAUAGAGAGAAGAAGAAGAAUACACAAUGGUGGCAUGGCCCGACCCCGUAGGGCGUGAGAGAGUCUUGAGUGAACUUAGUUUCUCGAGGGAGCGUCUCUCAUUUGUUGCCUACUUUAGAAAAAAAUUUCGUGGGUUUUGCUUUUUGUUGUUUAUGGUCACAAACCAAGAUUUAGUCACUGUUGAGCACUUUCAUUUCUUCUAGUGGACAACGACGUCUCCUCAUUACCAAAGUCCUUUGUUUCAUCAUCAAACACUCUUCACCUAAUCCAACCUAUUCAUGUUGUUACAAGGACACUCUCGCACACACACGUUAUGCUACAAUUGCUCGGACUAGCUUAGCUAGGAUAUCAUCUAAACGCAGUUAGAAUAUAGUUUUUGAUUCGUUUCGAUUAAUGUAAAAAGGAGUGUAUAGGGAACCUAAAAGGAGGAUGAACGUGAGAGAAAAGAAAUGAGCAUAACAAAAGAAAAGCAAAUAGCAUUGAGCACAGUGACUGAAAGCAAUAAAGUAAGAUUGUAAGUUAUUUUUUUUCAGACUGAAAUUUUUUUACAGAGAUUUCAGCAAAGAGAUGAGAAAGUAUAAAGUUGAAAGCGAAAGGCAUUUUUUUUUUCUUUCAUGGGGGCGAAAGCAAAAGCGAAUUAGAGAGGCGAAAGCUGGUUUUAGCUAAAGAAAGACAAAAAGGAAUGUAACACUCUUUUAGAUUUGACGUUAAAGAAGCUUGCCAAUGUGACUAUUGUAGGAGCCAUAUCACAACAAUACAUUGUAUCCAUUUCAUAACUAAAUUAUUCAAUUCCUCUAUCCACCAUGCUUAAUAAGACUCGAUAAGGCAUUGUUGUGAUUGGGCUAGGAUUUGGCAACGGGCUAAAGAACAAUGUGGAAGAUUCAACGUACUAUCCUAAGGUCUUAACUAGUUCAAGCCAUCCCAGUUCCAAUAUAUCCUUUAGUUUCAAGAUGAGUUAAACAAUAGAAAAUGUGAAUGUUGACCUUUUAAUCAGUGAAUAUGUCACUAAUCAUGUUUUGGUUCAGAUUUGAUAUACAGAGGAAAACUCUGACAAUCUCUGUGUUCUUGUCAACACCACAAUUCAAUCUCUGCAAUACAAAAAUCUCUAAUCUUCUUAUCCUGAAGCGAAUUUACACAUGGUAUCAGGUCUAGGUACACUUCUCGGGGACAGUAGUGACUUACUUUUCUACUGUGUGUUCAUUAAACAACUCCUUCAAUGGCCUUAUGUGUCACUGAGUUGCAACUUCUUUCUCUCCUGCUUCAGCUGUGACACAAAACUGUAUUAAUAUCACGUGAGAACGCAAAUAUUACAAUUUAUUACUUGGUAUCGACACUUACCACGGUCUUUACUCGAUCAUUGGCAGCACGGGUUCCUCCAUCGACACAAUCAGGAUAAUAAGGGCUUCGAAUAAACACUUCUCCCAUUACGAGAAUGUCUUUGUUUACCCACCUUGUAGGAAGCCUGGAGAAUGCAGCAUCACAUAACAUUCAAUCAAAAAGAGUUCAUGUAGCAAAAUCAAUAGAAUGAUUAUCAGCAGAAGCAUACAAUCAGUUGUCACAACCAGUUCUUAACUGCUAAACGAAGAAAGCUACACAACAUAAGUAGCCACAUUUAAUAUAAGCAAACUCACCGAACGGUAGCAAAAAUUACCUGCUUACUUUCUAUGACAAUUCUACUCCAUUAUCACAUUUUGUUAUUUCAGAAGUGCCAUGACUAGUAAAACACUAGUAUAUACUUGUGAUUUGAUAGCUAACAACAACUGAAGCAAGGCUAAAGAUAAAGUCGACCAUAGAACAAAUAUAGAGUCCAAACAAGCUUGCAUCUUCUAGAAACCACAAGCAAUAAAAACACAAUGCCAUGACCAGAAUGAAAACUCUAGUAAACAUCUGGGCUUUGAUGCUGAUUUAAAGGCAUUCAGCAGCAACAACCGAAGCAAGGCUAAAGACACAAUCGACCAUAGAGCAAAUAUAUAGUCCCAAAGAGCUUGCAUCUCUUGACUCCAGAUUCAGAAACUAAAGAAUUCACAGCUGCUUAAAUAAGCAAGCAUCUGACCUCGUUGCAACCAGAAACAAUGCACAAAACAGUAGAGCAGUGAAACUGUAACCAAUCCAGGCUAAACCAAGAACUUCUUCACACAAGAACUAGCCUAAUCCAUGACAAGGUUCGAUUGUACAACAUAAGUAUCAUUAUCAACUCAAUACAAAGGACCAAAAAGACCCAUACGUCUUAGAAAUCGCGUCAAAGAUCUUCUGCGCCUCUGCUGUAACACCAAAACCAAUUUUCUCGAUGUCCCUGCAAAAUACAUCAAUCAAAUUCAGAGAAAAAUUCGCAACAAUCAUAGCGAUUACACAACAAAAUUGCAGCAAUUGUCACCUAAUGACAUUAACUUCUUUCUGUUCGAGUUCAUCAAGACUAGUCGAAGGCCUUUUAGCGAGCGGAUCCUUAACUCUCCCCAGACUCGUCAGCUCGGUUAUGAAAUUCGCAUUCACCAUCCGUAAGGUCUUCGAAUCCAGAGGUUUAGGCUUCGUUCCUUCUUGUAAAUCACUAAUCUGUCAAGGAAACCGCAAAAUCCAAGUGCGAAAACAAACAAAAGAUGAUGAAAUCAAUAAGAAAGAACUAGCAGAGAUGAGAAACUACGAGAUACGAGUACUGAUUUCGAAAAAAGGAUAUCGAACAUGACGAUGUUGGGAUUAGAAUCAUAUCCCAAGACGAUUCCAUUGAACACGUCUCCGGUGGUCAACUUGACAGUGUAUACAUUCCCCAACGCGAAUUUCUUGCCUUCUCCUCCUCCAUCGCCUUGUUUAGCCACCGUACCACUUGCUGGUUUCAUGGCGGCGAACAAACUCUCCGGUGGUUUCUAAAUCGCGGGUUUUAAAAAGUGACGGUUGAAAAAUAUCUUCGGCUUCACGCCAAAAUGGGAGAAUAACAAACUAUAACCGUAAAUGGGCUUCUGCACUCAACUAUAUAGGCCCAUAUAAAACUACCACCCUGGAUCGUUACUAUUACCAGGCCUAAUAAAUCGAAUAGCCCAAUUAGAAUUUGGUUUAAGAGCGAUUGUUACAUGUACUUCACUGAAUUAUUCAACCUAAAGUUAAUUAUAGACCAGUUUACUAUUGAGUUUUAUAAACUUUGCAUAUUAUUUUUCCUACAAAAAAAAAUGAAAUUUUCUACUAUCUUUUGAUAAUAAUAAAAAUUAAGUUAGUUAAUAAGAUGUUUAAGCUAAAUAUUAUAGGAAGAGGAAUAAGAUGGAAGUGGUCCAUGUGACAUGAAUUAAACAAAUCAUUGUUAUAUUUGUCAAAAAGGGAAAUGGGAAGCUGGUGAACUACUACAUCACCAUUAUCUCCUCCUCUGUCACUACUUUUUUCUAAAAAAAUUCAAAUUCUCUCAAUGUCAGUCUUGAAUGUUGGUUCUAAAUCUUCACUAGAUUUUAUUGAAAUUAAAAAAUAUUAAAUUUCAAUUAAUUAUUUAAAGUUAUCUAACAACAACUUCUUGGUUGUGUAAAAGUCACAUAAUAAUGCAUACAAAAAAAUUUCUUUCUUUACCAGUCACAUAAAAAGGGUGUAAACUUUGUAAAAUCGGUUCUAUAUUGGCUUGUAAAAAUUAGUUAUUUUCCAAAAAACAUCAACAUUAGACAAAUAUGUUUGAAAUCGAUGUGAAAAAAAAAAAUAUAAAUCAAACCCUAUCUUUGGGUAUUUAUGAUGAGUUUAUUCAAGUAGUGAACAUCUAUACAAUGGAUUUAUUUUACAAUCUUAAAGACACGAUAAAACAAAAAAAAAAAAAAAGGAUGAGAUUAGUAGAAAAGAUGACUGCUUUGGCUAACAACAAUUAUAAAUGGUCGGGAAAGAGAGGAGGGCACAUGGAAGAAAGGAAUAUGGACCGAAGUUAACGGGGGAUGAAGACAACAAGUCGAACCACUCAUUGCAAACUUAUUAACACAUCUUUCAUAUACCAUCACAUGUUAUUUGAGUCCAUCUUCCACAUGGGUUUUUCACAUUAUAAUGCUUUUGCUUCCACCCCUAUAUAAUAAUAUUUACUGUAUUAAAAUGUAGCGGACACUUGUUAUCUUACAAACUCUUGGUUUAAAAGUUAGAGUUAAUAAUUGUUUCUUUCCACAUUUACCCAAUAUUUUAGAAAACAACACACCUUUGCCAAGUUACUUUAAGAAAAUAAUUUAAUAUUGCUCUGUCUCUCAGAAUUUUCACCGUCAAGUAAAAAUGAUUGAAAAUCAUUACACGUUAGUGGGUAAAAUCAUCUCUGCGUUGACUAGGUGCCACCAAAUCGUUGAAACCGUACAAAUGUUUCCACUUCUUUUUAACAAAUUGUGUCAAGUCUCAUACUUUACUAAUUUUCAUCUAUCAGUGAUUUUUUUCUUUUGCUUUCUUUUGAUAAUAUCGUUGUUAUGUAUUUAUUCAGCAUAAGUUAUAAAUAAUUACGAAUGCUUUAAUUUUCUUUUUGGUAAUAUAAUUACGAAUGAUUUAGACUUCAAAUAAAUUCCUUAACAAAAAAAAUCAAUAAAAUUCCUUAGAAACAAUUGAAUCUUUGAUCUACAUUGUACUUACUUACGUGUCGACACCUUAUUCUAGGAUUAGUUAAGAGUUAAAACCUAAUAAAAUCUUUUUUUUUUUCAUCGUGGCACGUUGUCAUGUUGACUUGGACAAUUCCUAAUUUUCCAGUGCACACACUGACAAAUUGACAAUUAUACCCUGACAAGCGCAAAGAACAAAGAUCAGAACUGAGGCACCGCAUCAAGGGCUAUUUCGUCAUUUCCAGGGUAUAAAAGCCAUCAGAGUCUGGCCAUUUUCACACUGGCCACUCACUGAUCAAAGGCAGCAACUUGCCUCCUCCACCACAAGCCACCACAAACUUAUAACAAUUUCAAUAUAUAUAUCUAAUAACAUCAAAGGUUCAUUAUAACAAACCAUAUCAAUUCAUUACCUAUUGCAAAAAUUAAACAACAAUAACUCAGAAUUAAGUGGAGUCUUGUGUCAAAAACAAAAACUAAAUUUUGGCAUAUAUUCAUAUGCGGUAGACUAGUAUUUUAGAAUUUGUUUAGGCAAUAAAGUAAAGAAAAGAACCUAUUUUACAACUGUAUGAAUAAUACAAUAUCAUGUGGAAAAUAUUGAAAAUUAAGCAUAACAACAACAGCAUUGACAUGGAUAGAUUAAUAAUUAAAAAGAUUUGAAUAAAAUAUUUACAUCCCACUGGUCCAAAACCAUCGAACCACUCGUCCUUUCGUCUCGUCUCUUCCCACAUAAAACAAGAACAACCACCAAAAAAACGAUGUGACAUAUACUUAUAAACAAACAAGACCACCAUUAUCAAUAAUCAAAAGAAAGAAGAAGAAGCAUAAAGGUUUUGUUUCUAUGAUCCUGAAAUGGGAUUGAAAGAGCAACAAAAUUGUCUGAGUCAUAGGAAGAUUAUAGUUUUCUUAGUCUUAGCUUUUAUACCAUUAGCUCUGUUUCGACUCUGUUUUAAUAAUCCUUUCUCCUCCUCCAUUGAUGACACCUCUCUCCAAGACUCUUCAGCUCACGUUGUGAUCACCAGCUUCUCUUCUUCUUCUUCUCAAGGUAACAUCGAACUUAUCCAAUAUUGUUUGUGUGUAUGCAAACACAAUGGUUUUUAAACUUUAGAACUGUUGUCUAAAUCUGCAGAAGAAGAAACUCAAGAGAGCUUUGAUCGUGUAAAGGACGAACCUUUAUGCGAUUAUACGCAAGGGAAAUGGGUCAGGGACGAGACUGGUCCACUCUACAAUGGUUCAACCUGUGGAACAAUCAAGGAUGGUCAGAACUGUUUCCGCCAUGGUAGACCUGAUUCCGGUUAUCUUUAUUGGAAAUGGAAACCGAACCAAUGCGAUAUACCAAGAUUCGACGCUAACCGGUUUCUUGAUCUUAUGAGAGACAAGCAUCUAGCUUUCAUCGGCGACUCCAUGGCUAGAAACCAGCUUGAGUCUCUUAUGUGCUUGCUCUCUACCGUCUCUAGCCCUGAUCUUGUGUAUAGAAAUGGAGAAGACAAUAAAUUCAGAAGAUGGCGUUUCGAAUCUCACAACGUCACGGUCUCGGUUUACUGGUCCCCGUUUUUGGUGGCCGGUUUAGAGAAAUCGGGAAGCUUGGACCACAAUGUAUUGCACCUAGACCGCGUGGAUGAGAGAUGGGGCAAUGAUUUAGAACGUAUUGAUACGGUCGUUGUCUCAGUAGGGCAUUGGUUUCUGCAUCCGGCGGUUUAUUACGAGUCUGGCUCUGUUUUGGGAUGCCAUUCUUGUGAAACAAGCAACUGUACCGAGAUAGGGUUUUACGAUGUGUUUAGAAAAGCGAUUAGAACAACGUUGAAGGCGGUUGCCGGAAGUCGUCGUGAGGUAAUCUUGACGACGUUUUCGCCGUCACAUUUCGAAGGCCGGCCUUGGGACAGCCUUGGUGCUUGUAACAUGACAGAGCCGUACGAAGAGAAGGCUCUAGAAGGUUUGGACUUGGAUAUGCGGCAAAUAGAGAUGGAGGAGUUUACGGCAGCCAAAGCAGCGGCGUCUGAAGUGAGGUUAGAGGCGUUAGACGUGACGGCAAUGUCGGUGUUGAGACCAGACGGACAUCCUGGUCCGUACAUGUACCCGUUCCCGUUCAAGAACGGUGUACCGGAGAGAGUUCAUAAUGAUUGUCUCCACUGGUGUCUCCCCGGACCAGUCGACACGUGGAACGAGAUUAUGAUCGAGGUGUUGCGGCGAUGGAGGGUUUAAAUCAUGAACCAUGAUUGUGGAAGUGAUCCUAUGACAUCAUCAUUCAUUUACAACGCAUAUGACAAAAGGUGUAAUCAUUUUUUUCGGGAUUUCAUAAAGUAUAGCUAGGUAUAGUUUCUUUUCUUGAAUUUUAGAUACGAUCGAAACAUAAACACACAUGGAUCAUACUUUCCUUUUUGUUGCUUAUUUCUUCCGUUCUUCAGAAACGAUAGAGGAGUACAAAGUUCCAUAGUUCCAUGUCAUGUAACUUUUAUUUUUUGGAUUGGAAUCUUUCAAUUAUUAUGCCUUAAACUGUCUAUGUACAAUAGCCACGACUCACGAGCAUGCCUCUUCUAUUAUAUUAGGGCGUAGAUAGCUGUCACUAUGAUCAUGCGUAUAGAUCAUUGAUUAGAAUUCCAGUUGUAUAUAUGAUGGACCGGUCUAGGAACAAAAAAAUUGUAGUGUUGACUAAUGAUGCCAUCGCCAAGAACAUUGUUAAGAAAGAAUAUAGUAUUUGACCUAUAUUACAUUAUUACUUGCUGUAUUGGUUCGCGACUUGACUAACUUAUAAGAUGAGGCCUUUGUGGAAAGCAAAGCAAGUGGCAACUGGCCAAAAAGGGAUGGGCACAAUGAAUUAAAAGAACAUUUUGUAAUGUUCUCUGUAUCCAAUUUUGCAGGCAUUUCUUGGGUUUUGUAUUUGUGCAGUGCAGCGCAUUUUUUUUUGUCUAAGAGUAAGACCCAGAGAUGUGUUAUUAUCAAUUUUUGUCUUUUAUUUACAGCAUAUGUUUUUUUUUUUUUGUCUUGCAGUAGAAAAUAGUUUGUCUUUUUAAAGAAGAAGAGAAUCUUCAUUGUAUCAAGCGUGAAGGACUGAAGGGGUUUAAUUUUUUUUUAUUAAGCAAAGACAAAGGACCUUUAGGUUUUAACUUUUUACCCAGCUGUUUUAUUCUUUUUGCUCCUUCCUCUUUCGAGUAUCUCUUCGUCUUUGCCUUUUUCUCCACUAAAUUAUGUUUGGAACUUAUGUUGUUCCAAAAACGUUGCUGCUAAAUAAGUCGUACUAAUUAAUAUAUCAAAUCAAAAUCGUUUCCAAGGUAGUUUUGGUUUGAAUGAUGACAAUGGACCAAAGAGAUUGAUCUAUUUUUGCAACUAAAAAAUUUCGGAUUUAACAUAUCUUCUUUUUGUUGCCCGUCGUAAUAUGGACCAAAGUGAUAUAAUUCGACUAUAAUGAUUUCCCAAAGGACAGAUUUUGUGAGUGAGGUUUGUGAGUUUGUCCAUCCUAAAAAGUUAUAUAUCAUUGCACACUCGUAUGGGCUUUACCACAAUAAUAUUGCACAUAUUCGUAUGGGCUUUAAGUACUACAACAGCUUCGUAUUAGGCUGAUCACUUGUGUCCAAUUUGCAGCCAGAACUCAUCUAAAUAUCAAUUUGUCUCCUUCUAUGGCCUCAUAUGACACACUAGUGUAACUAGCCCAUUUAUAGGCAUGGCAUGUAGUAGAAUCAUAUCUCUCCUCCACAUCGAGAUUGAUAGGAACCAGAAAGAGUUUGAUACUUUGAUUCGUAGAGUCUUUCGUAAAGUUUAAACUGUUUUGUUUUUCCACUCACAUUUAUAAUCUAUGUAUAAAAAAAAUUGUACCAGUACUAUGUAGCCAUCAAGAAAAAUUGUUAGGAUCUAAUUAUUUAUACAUCGAAAGUAAGAUAAAUAAUCGGAUCGUUACCGAUUGAUUAUAAAUGAAAAACUUAUGAAGCUUAAAGUACUGUAUAUGUAUAAGUUUUCUUAUCGAGAAUAUAUAGUAAUCAACUAAUCAUAUGAGUUUUCUUUUGCGCAAUAUGUAAUUUCAGUAAUGGAUUUUUACAAUAGAAUUAAAGCUUGAAUACAACAGUUGAUCACUGAUGCGAAGAUUAUUCAUUACAUAGAAACACAAAAAAGAGCUCUAGAGAUAUUCAAAGACAUGUAUAUACAUUGGGGUAGGUUUUGCUAUUCGGACCAAAAAGCCUACUUCAGCAAUCCUCCCAUUGACACAGACCACUUAACACAUGCACACUCAUCACACGCGCGCAUUUCUUCUUAUUCACGCCACCAAAAGAGGAAAGGGGCCAAAAAUAUAUGAACCCUCGUUUCUUCUUAAAAAAAAUAUAUAAUACAAAAUUCACACAGGACUAUCAUCCUGAUUAGUAAGCAAUGGAACUUUGUUUUCAUCUUCUUCGUGAUGAUGAAUCGUUUUGAUGGAUUUUGUUUCUCGGUUUGGAUUUUGUUUUUCUUCGGUUUCCUUCAACUGUCCCCAAGACACUGUGUAGUAUCCCACACCACCUAUGGCUGCUCCUAACACACUGCACCCAUGCACCAACAAAUACUUAAUAUAUACUCAUGCAUAUGCAUGCUAAUUAAAUAAUUAGUAUUUAGGAUGAUUAAUGAAUAUUUCAACGUACCUGCCGUAGUGAAGGCUGUUUACGAAGAAGCUGGUGCCAAAAAGUGUAGCCCAAAAGAUACCAAAGGGUUUGAAUAAUGGCACGUAAUAAGGUCCUUUCAUUUGGGUGCACUUUACGUGUACACUUGUUCGUAUUACACUUCCGAAUGUUCCCUGAGUUAGUCACCAAUAUUAGACACGUUAGUUACGAUAGAGAAUUUGUGUAUUUCAUCCUUAUAUCGCUACUUGGAUAGUUGGAUUCAAACCUUGUAUAGAAUGCAUGUUAUUGAAAAAGAGAAAAUAUAUAUAUAUAUAUAUAUAUAGUCAAUUACCGUGGCGAUAAUGAGGUAGAGGUCGAAGUUAGGCUGGAUCUUCCAUGCACUUAGGUCUCUUUCCAUAAAUAACGAGAAUAUUAGACACUGGAUCGUCCCUACUAUGCUGUAAAAUGAAGCCACUUUCAUUACAUGUGGAUACUUUUUUACCGUCCCUGUCUGCAUGCCAAGGACAAGAAAAAAUUUACCUCAAAACUAAUUAUAAUGCAUAAGCAUAACGAUGGUUUCAGUAAUGGAUAGUUUAGUACCUGAACAACAUUGAAGAGGGAGAUAGAAAAAACAGCGGCGGCCAAAAAGAUACAGCCGAGAAACCAAUUGUCGGGGAGGUUGUAGUAGACCAUAAGUUUGGGGAUUGAUUUGAGAAAGCGAGUUGGGGAAGCAGUCGAAGCUGGUCUUAUGAAGGGACCUUUGUACAACUCUUCAACAAAAGCUCCACUUAAUGAGAUUAUUGCUCCCAUCACUUUAGCCCUCGUACUCGUGUUUCUCCAAUCCAACUUGCUCUUUCUAUAAAUGCAUAUAUGGUUAUUGUUGACGUACAUAUCACUAAUAUGGAGAUUUAUAAAUGGUGAUGAGAUGUGGCUUACCCGAGAAGAAUAGAGAGCAGGAAGGAGAAUGUAGGGAUUUGCAACCCCAUAGCACAUACGACUAUAGGUGAGCUGAAGCUUAGUCCCACAAAUGCCAAGUUUUGGAACAUAAAUACCCUUCACAUAUUUAAAACGUUGCAAUAUAAUUAAUCAGUGCAUAUGUGCUUGCAUGAAUAACAUUUUAAGUACGUUCAGAAUGCAUGCAAAUGCGUGUGUGCUCGCAAGUGACCAAACAUACGGCACACAAGUUUUUAAAAUUCUAUUUUAAUAACAAAAAUAAAACAUGGUGUGUGGUAUAUGCCGCUCACAAAGAAACGUCACGAUGUGGAAAACAAGAGAACAUAUUAUAGCCUAGUUGUUUCUUUUAAAACCUAGUAAACGGCACGCAGUUUUGUUUCUUUUCGAUAGAUGACGUUGCAAAUCCAUGUCAUAGAAUAUUCAUCAAACAAAUUAGUGGUUGGCACAGGACGUAUAGAUUUUUCGAAACAUGGACCACACCUAAGUUAUUGUUAUUGCAAAAUACAAUAUUCGUGAGAAAGAAUCUGGUCUGAGUCCUAAAAUCUAUACGAUAGAUUUCUAAAGAAAACAUGAACUUAUUAUAAAGAGAGAUGAAUGAUGCACCCACCCGGUGAAGCCUAGAAAGAAAACACGAACGAGAAGUGGCCAAGAGAAGAUAGAUUGUUCAGUUCUGCAAGUGUUAUCAUAAACAACAAAUCAGACAACAAACAAGACGAUUGAUUAGUGAGGAGUAACUAUAAGUAUAUAUGGAACGUGAACUGACCUAUCAUUCCGGUGAAAGAAGAAAGAAAAAGGCAGAAGAAGAAUAGAUCCAAAAGCAUUUGUGUAAACAACGAACACAAAAGGACUCAUCCCUCCCGUCAACGCUGUUUUUGCCAUAAUCGUUAGAGCAAUAGUGCAUGCUUCCAUUAUCGCCAUUGCCACAAACGGCACGAACUCAUCCCUUCUAACUUUCAACUCCAUCUCUCUCCCUCUAGGCUUUCAAAUAAAAACGGCACGAUGUCUCCUAGCUCCAAGUAUAUAGGAAAAUAAAGAUUAGAUAGAGAGAGAGAGAGAGAGAGAGAGAGAGAGAGAGAGAGAGAGAGAGAGAGAGAGAGAGAGAGAGAGAGAGAGAGAGAGAGAGAGAGAGAGAGAGAGAGAGAGAGAGAGGGAGCUAGAGAGAUCCUCAAAUGCUAUUGGAGAUACGAAAUUAUUGGUUUAAUUCCUCUAAUCAUAUAUAGGACAGGGAAGAAUUAUCAUACAUUUAUUUUUAUUUAUCAUUAUCUAUUUUUCAGAUAUAACCUUUCACGAAGCGGUGAAGCUACUUUACAAACGUGAUGUAGCUACACGAGUGACUCCACCAUUGCACUAAGGGCGAGAUGCUAACGUCAUAUAUAACUUCUUUUUUUUUUUUACUUAUCAGAAUGUGUUCAACUUCAAACAUAAAUCCAAAUAGUGUGAUGCUGUUUAUAGUUCAUUUCCUUUUAUAUUUUUUAUGUACUUACGUCGUAUUUUUCGUCUUAUAAGUGAUUUCACGCAUAUAAAUUAUAAGUUAGAAUGCAUGAUUUGGUACGUGGGUUCUCCUGAUACAUCGUCAGACUUAAUUAAUUAUGAUCGUACGCCAACUAAAUCAGCGAUCAAAUGGAGACCAUACGUUAUUUACUUUAGGUUUCAACCUAAACUUUUGUUAGAUAUAAACAAUUUUCUAUAGAAUUUAUAAAUGGAUAUGUUGUUGGCGUUACAAAAAGCAAUAAAUUGCAAGAACCAAAAUUUUUAUACAAACUUAUCAGAGUUCACUGUUAUACUUAAUUGGUCUUAGAAAAAAUAUUUUUACGAGGACAAUGUCAUGAAGGUGAGUAACUCUGCAGCAAAUUUGAAGCUUUGUUCCUUGCGUCUUCCUGCGAAAAUCUCGCAAGUCUCUAUGCUCACCACGGUCGGAUUUAGACACUUUCCAGGCCACCAUUGCCAGCUACACAACUCAAUGACUCAAGCAGCUCAAGUUGGAGUGAAAAAUCCAACUUCUCUCAAGAAUACACUUGCCUUCAUGUUUUAGGGGUGUCUACUUCAUUUUAAAGUUUUCUCAACCACUUCUACUCUCUUAAAUUUCUCAUUGAUAUUUUCAAAAACAGAACUCUCAACUAAUUAAUUUUAGUACCCUUGUAAAAACAACUUUUUCUACAAAAACAAUGAAACCACCUUUAAGUCCUAAAAGAAUGUAUACUCACUUUCGAAAAAAAAACUCUCAACUAAUUAAUAACCUUGUAAAAUCAACUUUUUUAUUAAUAAUGAAACUAACCUUUAACUCCGAUUUACGCCGCCAUAGACGUGGUAUAACACUAAACACAAGGCUUAAAUAAACCAAUAUUAUAAUGUUUUCAUAUAUUCUAAUGAUAGUAGUUACACUUACACAAUGGAUUACAUUGUAACGACGACCCUAAUUAAAACUGUGAAUACGAAUCGUGGGAGACUAGCUUAACUUCUACUAAACAACCAAUUUUACAAUUACAAUUGGCGAGCACAGAUUUUUUCUUCAAAAGACUACCAUUGAACGUGAAGUAAUAUUUUAACCGCAAAAAACCAAAAAGAAACGACAAGGCAUUUUUGCUGACAUAUGCAACGUAAAAUCCUAUAAUUGCGAUCUGCAUAUUAAUUUAUACAAUGGCCCAAGAGAUUUGUCUACUCUUGGCUGAGGUUGAUCAAGGACCCACGUCAAGAAAAUAUAAAGAUGUAUGGGGUCCAAAAUGGAGUAAUGAUAAAAUAGAUGACUUGAUGAUAUUUUGGGGGAAAAAAGAAUUGGGAGGGAAGGUGUCAUUUCUUGUCAACCCCUACGUUAGACUCCAAGUUUUUUGAUACUGUAAUGGUUAGUGGAUUCAUAUUCAUCCAACAAAAAUGUUAGGUUAUGAUGGCUCUUAGCCUUUUCUUUAUUUAAAUUCGUCUCCCUCAUUCCUAAUUUCAUAUAUACUUAGGUCUGACGCUAGGCCGGUGAGUUUCUGAUGAUGCUUACUCGGACCAUAUAGUCAUUCAUAAUGGAACAACAAUACUUUAUUGAUUUGGAUCAUACAAAUUCGUAGACAUGAUAAUUAGCAAGACAUACAAACUCGAAUACAUAUCUAUAGAUGCUCAAAAUAUGAGAAUUUCAUCGACUUCUAUGGUAUAAUGUUGUAAUCUUAAAUAUGACCAUUUGGGUCAAACUGAGUGACCAUACCAUCUUGAAUGAUGAAAGCAACUUAUAUAACUAUAGUUUGGAUUAAAAAUUGUAUAAUUUGUUCGGCCACGCUAACAAAACAACUAAUCUAUUAAAAGAAUAAACAUGUCAUGACUAUUGUAUUGGAUUUUUUUUUUUUUUGGUUCAACAAUUAAGAACAAAAAUAUUCUGUUUCUAGUAUAAAUACCAAAUGUGACUCUUCAUUGUGGGAUUAGGACCAAAUUAUGAGCAUUCCCUUGGUUAGGUUUGAACUUUGAAUUACGCUUCAAAUACAAUAAAAGAAACAAGUAUUGAUACGAAUUUAGUCAAGAAAAAAAUAUCAUUAUUUAGUUUUCUUUCUUAGUUGGAUUUAACUACAAUUAUAUUAUACAGUUUAAAAUACAAUUCUUUCUUAAUUAUACUUACUUUGUUGGGCUCUGAACUUAGGCCCAAUAUUUUUUCAAAUGUUUUAUAACCUCUACAAUUCGUCAUGACUGAUAAAAUGUAUAGGAUUUGAAUUUUUAUAAAGUUCAUAACUUGGUUUAAAAAAAAAAAAAAAAAGAAGAAGGUCAUAACUACACGCUCAUGAAGAAGGAAAUGGGCCAUUAAAGGUUAUCCAUUUCGAUGCAUGGGAUCCAUGGAAGUGAAGCAUUCACCGUUUCUCAAGCCAAAAAACUGACGUUUCUUACAUAAUUAACGACCAUGGGAUCUAUAUAAGAAACGAUCUAUCAUUAUCCACACAACGUAAAAUUUUAUUAGUCCUAAUCUUAUACGUAAGUUUUGUGUUUAAAGAACCGUUCCUGAAACGUUUGAGACCUAGUUUGGAUAGACUUGAGAAAAAAUGUCUCUUUCCAAAACCAAUGAUAUAAUAACUUUGAUCUUAAUAACAAUUUUAACUAUGCGUUGAUCUCUGUUCCCCGGUCAAGAAAGAUUUAUCCUAAAAUUAAUCUUUCAUUUUGUGUUGCAUCAGACGUUCACUCAUUUCUUUAGAAAAUCAUAGUCGACGCUGAGUUGGCCAAAGCACAUGAGAGCAUGGGUUGCAUGCAUAUAUCAAAUAUCAUACCUGUAUAAUUUGAGUUAAGUUUGGUUGAUGUAACCAAUCAAUCAAACAUUUGCAACAAACACAUGAUUGUCUUAUAUCCAUCCAUGAUCCAUAUAUAUACUAAUAGUAGACCAGUAUGGGCGCUAAAUGUGAAGUGUAGUAGCUGGCAAAAAAUGAACUGAGAAGAAGAAUCAACAAUAAUAAUAUACAUGAGAAAUCAUGUUAACAUUUAUGCAAAGCACAUGUACGAUUUAUAAGAUAUAUAUAGUCCGGCCCGAUAGAAAACCCACUAGUUCCAUGCAACGUGUUUUAUUAGGGCAUCUCCAACAGGGGUUCUGUUGUGAGUAUGUCUUCAUUAAAAAGUUGAAAAAUAAAUCAAUAAUCAGAAAUAAACAGAGAACUGAUUCUCUUAAGAGAGGUUAAAGAACUUCACAGAACCCAUGAUAUGGACAUUUUUCAUUGGUUGAAAUCUAUAUUUGAUGUAAAAAAUAAAACUCUUCUUUUCUUUAAUUUCUUUUGUUUAUUUUUGCCCAAAAAAAUAAAACACUUCUCUCUCUCCUCUCAAUCUCUCUCUAUCGAUGAAAAAAACUCUUUUCUCUCAAUCUCUCUUCUCUCAAACACUUACGAUUUGUAUUUUUUUUUUUUACAUUUAUGUCAUGUUUUAAAUAAAUUUAUGAAUUGCAAUAAGUUUUUUUUUAAUUAAAGUUAUGUUUAUAAAUUUUAACAAAUUUACUUCUAGUUAAAAUAUUAUGAAUUUUUGAAAAUCUAUAUAUAUAUUUUUUAGAGAACCCCAACUUGAGAACUCUAUCAUUGGAUAUACAUAAAUUAAAUAAAUUUGUAAGAUAUUCUCAACCAAAAAAAUUUCAAAAUUAUUAAUAAAAAUAUUGAAGAGAACUCAUUAUGAGUUCUCUUGGAUGGAGUUGGUCUUAUGUACAUCAGGAAAAGAAUCGGUGCGAUCAUAGACUUGGAUAUUCAAUACAAUCAUCAUCUGGUUCACGAUUAUUUUAUUUUAUGUACACCGUAUGGACUAUAUACUAUUUUAAAUAGAAAGUCACAUAUUAGUGUAUCAUUUUGCAAAAAGAAAAACGUAAUAGUAUUUUUUUGGUAGAAAGAAAAACGUAAUAGUAUUACGUAGUGAAAUAGUUUAAUUUGAAUGUAUAAACAAAAGAUUAUUUUCGAAUAUGUGUUAUGGGAAAAAAAAAUGUAUAAAAUGUUCCGAGAUCCCGCCAAAUUAACCCGAAAAAAAACCUCAAAAGAAGGAAAGAACAUAAAAUAGUAGGGAGCUGUUUCCGUAAACUACGGUGCUUCUCCUCUUCCAUGAACAUAACAUGUAAAUUUCAAAUCAUAAUAUAUAAAGAAACUGUAUAAAUUUAUAGUUUUUUUUUUUGAUAAAAUAGUUUCUUUUGUUAAACAGAGAACCAUGCAGCUGCAGUGGGAAUGUUACGUAUGGGGGCAAUGAUCGAUCGGACGGUGAGAAAUUAAUGAUGAAAGAAUGGGACCUCAAGUGACCUAUCAGGCACGUUAAUUUGCCGAGAGAAGGGUAAUAACACCAACAACUCCAAAAUGGUCACUCAGAUAUAUAGCCACACACAUAGCCAUCUUUAAUUUGUUCAAGCUGUCAAAAACCCUAAAACUUCGAAACUAGCCUAGCCCACUUGAGAUUUCAUCAUCCUUCGAUCAUUGUUCAUUAUCACACAUACAAUUGCAUGUGAUUCGUAGAGUGGUCCAUUUCGUUAAAUCACUGUACCACGUUCUCUCAAAUGUAGUAUUGAAAUUGUGAUUGAUCAAAUUAAAAAAAAAAGAAAGUGAUUGAUUAAUCAGCCCCUUAAGUGUCUUAAUCCUUCUUUAAUACUUGAUUGAAAUUAUAAACUGAAAAUAACUAGGCUCAGAUUGUAAAAAAUGAAGAAAAAGUAGUAAAGAUAUUUGUGAUAUUAUAUAUUAGAAAAGACUUGUGCAACCAUGUAGUCCCAAUCAACAUUUCAACAAUGGUAAUGUAAACAUAUUAUAUGGAGUAAUAUUAAUGAGAAAAAAGACAAAUAGAAAUGAGAGAUCGAUGAUCGCGUCAAUGUCGAGUAUGGAUGGCUACAAACGAGAGUUUGGAAAAGCUCAGCUGUCGAAAACACGUGCAUAGUAUCUAUCCAGUUGGCACUUACAAACAUUGCAUAGUGUCGGUCCAGAAACAUUUAACAACACACCCCAACUCUUAGGAACAGACACACACACAUUUGUAUUAUUAUUAGCCUCAUCAAUUUCACUAUCAUAUAAAAGUUUUUGGUCCCAAAUUACUUUCCAGUAGCUCUUUUAUAUUUGUAAACUAAACAAAAUCGAGCUGGCCGGAGAGCCAAAAUAAAAAUAAAUGAAUAGCCAAUUUACUUAAAAACCUAAACCUGUGAUCGAGAAGAAAAUGUAUUGUCGAUGGGAUAAAUAUUUUAAGACUGUAGAGUAAGGAACUCUAGAGUCUAUAUUUAUCAAGAUGUGAUAUCUAAUGGUAUUUCAGUUACCAAACUGUAUUAUUUUGUUGGUAAAUGUCAUACUUCCAAGAGGUGGUAAUGAACAACAAAACUCAUACAUUUUAUAGUAGUUUUCUAAUGUAUUUAAAGAUUUUAUUGCAAAAUUUUAUUUUAUUGUAGACUUUAUUGGCUGAACAUUUGGUGCUUAUUGUAAUCUUAAUAUAAAUAACAAAACAAAACACAAAAGUUUAGUGAAUCCAUCCAGCACGUGAAUAUAUACGCUUACGAAAUUUAGGAAAUAAUUGAAACCCGUGAAAUAAUUACAAAUUAAACGACCGACGUAUACUAUUAUUAUUACAAUUUUUGUAUUUGGAUAAUGCUUUCUAAUUGCACAAAACAGAUCGAGCGUGUGGACGUAAUCAAGCAUUUUUUAUAAACAACAUAUUCCACAAUUGUACUAAAUUAAAAGACAACCAAAAAAAGCAUAGAAGACUCAAGACUCUAUAUAAAUAUGUAAGCACCCGCACGUUCGUUUGCAUCACAGCUCAUUGAAGUGUUGUCAUUAAACAAAAAAACACAAUGGAGGAGCCGAAGAAAUACAAGAGGAUGGUAGUGAAGCAGACGAUGAACAAGAACAAGAAGAGGAAGAAGAACAAAACGGGUCAUGGAUCCGGGUUGCUCCAAAUGAAGGUGAGGAGACUCCAAAUACUGAUACCGGGUGGGCAAAGAUGCAACCACCCGGAUCUGCUUUUAUCAAAGACACUUGAUUAUAUUGUGCAUAUGAAGUUGAAGCUAAGAAUUCUUAAAGCUCUCUCCGAUAUGUACUCUCUUUGAACUUAUCGUAAGAUAUAUUAUUCGUAACAUUAUUCUUCUUCUCUCCAUCGUCCUCUGUACUAUAUAGAUUUGAUCCAAAGUGUUGCCAAAAUUAAUGUUUGAUAUUCCGUAUAAUGGUUUUUAUCAUUUGUAGUAUUGCUUUUUGUCGCUUUUACCUUCUUUUAUAUAGUUUCUUGUCUAUAUUUAUAUGUGAAUCCGACAAUUAGUUGGAAAAUUUGACUAAUCUGAUACUGUCCAAAGCGUCUAGUUCCUUUUCAUCUUUUUCAAAAGCGUUCGUAUGAUAUUUAUUUCAGACAGUGAAACUUAGAUUAUUGUAGCCUUUGUUAUUUGUAGAUGAUUGUACAUUACGAAUUAGUUCAGUAGUACAAAGUGGAAUUGGUUAAGAAAAUUAUCUGAUUCCAUCUACUCGAUCGUCAUUCGAUGUGUGGAGAUUUUGUCACUCAAAUCUUGCCAAAGAUAUAACUUAUCUUCGUGGAUUUUGAGUUGUAAAGAUCUGUAUGAUUAGAGUGAUAAACCUUAAAAAAGAAGAAGACAAGACUCAUUAUUCUUAAGUAAGAAGAAAAAGAUACAAAAAACGUCACGUGUCUUUGACUUAAAGUCUCUUCACGAGGAACCUUCUAAAGCUCUCAGAGUCUUCAAAACACUUCUCAAUAGAUUCAUCAUAUACUUCUCCGUUUGAACUGCAAUCACUUCAUGCCCCUUAUUUUCUAGAAUUUUGAUUUAUCUUCGAAUACUUGAGCUACCUACUCAGCUCCCUUUGACCCUGAGAAUCUCCAAUGCACCUUCAAAUUUGUCCACACUCAAAAGUUUUGUGAAGAUAUCAUCCAAGUUGUGUACUUGUAUCUGUAUUCUAUUAGUAGUAAACUUAACCACUCGAAAUGGGAUAAAGCCAUCACUUCUCAUGACUCUCAUAACGUGUAACAUGACAUCUAAUAUUCCUUUUAAGAAAAAAAAAGUGAACUCAGUUCUUGAAAAUAAAAAGCAAUAGAUCUCUAUAUGAAAAUCACAUAGAACUUACACAUAUUUUGGGAAAACUAAAUCUGUUUUGCUAAAGCCUUGAGCCAACCUCCUUUUAAAUUGGCUUAUGUCAAUGCCAUAUACAUAAUGAAUCUCUGAUGAAAAUCUUAUAAUGUUUCAUGCCAAUGGUAGGUUUAAGCCUUUGGUGAAAAUCUCUGAUGAAACUAAUGAACUUGAUAAGCUUUAAGAAGUUUGAAUGAAUCCCAUCAAUGUGAAACCUUAUGUUGGAUGCUUGUUUAACAUUGUUGUAUACAAGUUUAUGUCAUUUGGUUCUUCGAUUCAAAGCCUAAGUUACCACAUAACCACUUUUUUGACAAAGAUAAACUUAUCUUCUUCUCUUCUUUUUUUCAUAUAAUAUAUUCCCCAAUACAAUCAAAGUAUGAGACUUUUCUUACAAGACAAGAGCAUAAUCAUAAAAUUUCUCCAUUCCCUUGCAAUGAAUCUCAAAAUCCCACCUAUACCCAAAACUUCUAAAUUCCCAGCAUAAUAUUAUCAAGGAAGACUGGUUUUCCCAGAAACUCUCAAGACCUGAGACUUUUCAUGUAUAUGGUGGAUAGUAUCCAUAUGGGUAACUAACAGAAUGAGAUCUGUAGUGAAGAUUCUGUUGAGUGUUAUUAUUCAUUUGAUCUCCAGACUCUAUAAGUUUAGGCUUAGGCUUAGGCUUAGGCUUAGCCACGCGCUUGCUGCUCUGAUCAUGGACUGCUCCAAAGACUAUUUCAUUAGUUUUCUCACUGUCCUCUUCAUAAUAAGUAUGUGGGAUCGACGAGUAAUGCCUUCGAUGCUGCUGCUUCUGGUGUUGCUGCUUUUCUUGCUGCUGCUGCUGCUGCUGCUGAUUGGGGAAUUCAGCAUCCCAGCUACUGUAGAAUGCACGGCUCUGACGCAGCUGUUGCAUUUUCUCUGCAUCUUUGGACAUAAAAGCAUAAGUUUUCCUUGGAGUUUGGUUCCUGGGCUCAACAGGAGGAGGUUCGUCUUCGUCUCGAAUCACAAAGCUCUCUUGAAUCGGCCAUGGAGUUGUUGUGUUAAAUGCAGCAGACAGCUUUGUUGUCCCUUGGUAUUCCUGAUAGCUGAUGCCUGUCUGCUUUUUUUUGAGGAUCUCCAUAGCAGAAUCCCAAGCAUUUGAAACGAGUUUUCCCAACGAUACCAUAAAGCUUUCCUCUUGUUUCUCUUGCUGCUCAUCUCCAGUUGGAAUCAGAGAUGGUCUAGAUGGUUUCAUAGGCUUUUGAUCAGGAUCCAUUUCGAACAGUUCUUGAUCCUGUGUAUGAAAGGUUUGACUAGUUUUAGAAGAACAUCUAUAAGACAGGGUAAUGUUUGGGAUGUUUUAGAGAAUAUUUAAAACACUUACGUUAUGAGAAGACACGAUAGAACCGACUCUUCGUUGCAACAGAGCCAGCAUAUAACCAAAGAAACCUGCAGCUACGAGAACUGCAAUCCCUGCGAUAUGUUGAAUCCAGAGACGGGUUAUUUAAAGAAUAAAACGGCAACAAACAGUAAGAGGGUUGGUAUUUUUCUAAGUUUUACCAAGAGGAAACCCGCUUCCAUACUGAUAAGCACAGUCGUCGAAAUGGAGUUGAAUCUCUCUGAUGGCUUUGUUUCCUCGGUCAAUAACGAGUAGGGAACAACUACUUCCAACAUAAACAACAUCAAAAUCGUUGGAGAACUUAGCAUCUUCACUUGGUCCAUCCACAUGCCCUCCAUUUCGAACCGUUUUCCCCCCAGCAAUUGUUGUGACUCCUAAAAUGGAGGUUUUAAAACUCAGUACAAGAAAAAGUAGAAUUCAUCACAAAACUCCCUAAAACCCUUCCAUGAAUGUAAUUAUUAUCCCAAUCUCAUAUAUAAACAAACUCUUACCCCCUUCACUUAUCUUCCUGAUAGCAUUAUUCACAGUGUCAGCCACAUAUAUGUUUCCUCUGUCAUCAACCGCAAGCCCGUUAGGAUGAUUCAGCUUCGCAUCACGUAAUCUCCCGUCCACAUGACCCGGAUAUCCUUCAGGGGAGCCAGUAACCAGUCUCGGCCUACUAUCUGCAAAUGUUACCAAUAGUCCCCACAUAAUUAAAACUCUGAUCCAGAUAGAACAUUUGAAAAACAAGAACUAAGCCAAGUUGCUAGAUAUCCAGAAAGAAACUAAGUCUUCAUUUUCACUUUUUGUAAUGACUUGAUAACAUACAAAUUAGUUUGAGCUGCAGGUAAGUAAAGCAUUGUUUCUAUUCUUGACCAAUUCCAUAGAGAAACACUUUUUGUUUUAGAUCUCAUCUUUGAAAAAGUCAGAUUCAGGAAAGAAAGUGAAAAAAGUACUAAAAAACUAUACCCGUAUACUGAUAUCAUCCCCGACAAACUCAUUCCAAAUACGACAAAGAUACAGCAAAAAAAAUCACCAUAUAAUAGUAAUAUAGCUUAGACUGGAAUUUUCAAUUGAGGUACCAAUAAAAAUUCUAUCAAUUUCCAUAUGCAGCAUCUUGUACAAUCCCAUGUGCAUUCAGUUUUAGGUGAUGACAAAGAACAAGCGUGGUCUCAACAUCAUCAAAAUCAUAUAGAAGAAUCUCAAUCUCUUUCAAAUAUAUAAAAAUCCACAAUGAGUUCUGACACAAACCCAGAAACUGAUUUUAAAAGAAACCAUAACUGAACUUACAUAGUGAAAGAGAAGAUGAGAUCUUGUAGAUGUUACUGUUCUCAGAAUCCAGAAUAAGUAGCUCUCCAUUGGGCAAUACCUCAAUCGAAUACGGUUCGAUACCGAGUUUGCUUCCAUCGAACACUGUCUCUACUUCAUACCCAUUUUCGAAUUUCACCAUCGAUCUAGUCGCAAUAGCUGAUUAACAAAAAGGAGAAACCUUUAUUGUCAAAAAAAAACUAAUCUUUGAAAAUAAAAAAGCAAACUUUAUGAUCAGAACAGGGAAAAGAAUCGAACUUGUUUUGGUGGUGGUUUUGAGUGACCAUAACCAUUUCAUUAGAGAAGAGCCAUGAUUUGAGAUGAACCCACUAACAAUCUCUGCGAUUAAAGACAUAAGAUUUGAAACAAAUUAAGCAAAGAAGCCAAGUGAGGGAGAUGAUGGUAAAGUUUAAACAAACGUGAUUAACACUUACUUGCAGGAGAAUUAGCUGAAGGAGCUGAAGAUACAAACCCAGAAAGGAGUAGAACGAGAAUACUCAGAACAAGAAAAUCUCUACCCAUUGAUUCGAUUUUUGAAAAAGGAGACAAGUUUUAAACUUGAGAAGAAGCGGCAGAGGAAAAGAGUAAGAACCCUAGUUUCAUACACAGAGAUUGUUCUUGGGAAAAGCAAAGAUAGGCAGAAGCAUAAUAAGAAUGGCGGACAAUGCAAAGAUUUAAACUUUGAGGUUACCUCGAUGAAAGAGAGAAUUUUUAUAAAAAGAGAGAGAACAGAGAGAGAGAGGUUAGAUUUUUGCAGAGUUUGUUGAUAAGCAAAAAAGAGUGAAGACAGUGUCUCAGUGAGAAAAAAGGAAAGGGGAAAGGUUUUAAUUAGAAGAACGAGACAGAAUAAAAUAGAGAGAGACGAGUGAGUCCAUCCAUGUGAUUGCGAUCAACGUCGUUACUUUUUUCUAAUUAAAUUAUAUGAUGAUUUUUUGUGUGUGUGUAUGGGUUGGUGAUUUAUUUAAUUUUGUUGUUUGUUUAAUUAGCAAUAUCAAAAUUUAACUUUUUUUGAGUUUAGAAAGAAUAAAUACCUACUAUAUUCUCUGGACUUGGUGAUUAUAUAAGUUUAGGUUGUGUAUCAGCUUUUAUAUCAUCAAAAACAAUAAGAAAGAUCAGCUUUAACAAUUUGUAUGUUUUUAUUUGAUGGAAUAUAUUCUAUAACUACAGAAUAAGUACAAAUGUUUAUAUCAUAUAUUAGAUUUUUCUGGUAAAGAUUGUAACUUUUUAGUAUGAAAGUUUAUAGUAUGGAGCUUUAUUCACUUUUAUCGUUUUAGAUAAUAUUUUGUGAGCAUAAAUGUCUUUAUAUAGUAUAUAUAUAUUCAUCCUAGAAUCCUAUAAAAAAUAAAAAUUUUAAAUUUAUAAACUACACUGAUAAUUUUGUCAUACACUAAAAUAAAAAAUUAGUCUUCAAAUUAAUAUUCCACAAAACUGUAAUGUAUUAAAAUGCGGUUUUAGUUAUGGUUGUAUUAAAUGUUAAAAUAAAAAUUUUAUAGACUUUUGAAAUUAGUUUAAUACUUUAAUUGUAUGAUUUUUUUUUGCUCUCUAGCUUUGUUCUUUGGAUGUCCAGUAACUCUGGCAAAGCAAGAAAUCCAAUCAAGAAAUUACACGUGUCAUUUAUGAUCCAUUUGGAGUACGUCACGUGUACGAAAGGUAACGUGUCUGUCUAUUUUUUACUCUAUCUUUUCUUUUUUUUAAGAUGAAACUAAUAAAGAGAGGGGUAAAGUAGUAAUUAAACGAAGGUUAGGGAGAGUCCAACAGUGCAUAUAUUCUCGCACCAAAAAUCCUUGUUUCGCGCUGCGUUUUAUCUAUUUUUAUUUUUAAAUUCACUUUGUUCUUUUGUUUUUUAACCUCUUUUCACUUGUUGUUUUUUACCUCCUUUUUAGUAUUCGAUAUAUUUUUUUUUAAUUUAUUUUGUAAAUGUACAACUUGUUAUGUUGUUGUUUUACCUCGUCUCUCAUAGUGAUAGAUUAAUAUCUUAAAUGGUAACUCAUGGUGCAAAGCAGUUAUAAUAGUAACGAAAAUAUUUAUAUUUCUACUUGACCACCAUUUACAUGUUGGUUAGCUUAACCAAAAAAUGUGAAAGAGAAACUUAAAUUGUCUUUUCAUGUGAGCACAACGGUGCACAUUUUGGUUUUGUCCUCUCUGAGAUCGUCUUCUUCUUUUCCAAUCAUUUAAGAUGUGGUUUCUUUACUUACAUAAUUUGUGUGCAACUUGGUCUCAUUGUAGUCAAGUUGGAGUAUAUGAUCAACGAACUAAACCUGGUUAAAGAAAAAAAGAAAAACAGAACACAGUUGGAUGAAACUUUUGAGGUUAAUUCUUCUACUAAAAGUUUGAAAAAAAAUAAUAAUGCAAAGUGAAGAACAUGAGAUUAAAAAAUAAUGAUACGUUUUAGAAAAAGAAAUAAUUUUUUUUUUUUGUGCUUAUAUGGAAAAAUGCAAAAGCAAUCGAAAAAGAAAGUUGAAAAUUGGUCCCCUUUUAAUCUUUAAUUGAUAAAAAAAAACACUUUAACUGAAGAAAAAAGAAGAUUCAUCAACAUGGAACUAUUUUUUUUUCUUUAGGAAAAUUGUCUUCUUUCUUUCUUCUUCUUUUAAGUAUAAAAUAUCAUCAACAUUAAUAAAUAAUCAUCAUGACUUUAACUAGUGAACCCUUAAUCUUCCUCCUAAACUAAGUCAUUUGAGUGAAACAUGACCUAUAUACAUAAGAAUAAACUCCCCAUAGGAGCCAAAAUACACAAAACCUACAACUCUUUCAUUCUCAAAUACUAGUUCACUAAGCCAAGAAAGGUGCCCUAGUAGCAACAUAUUUUUUCCAAGUUAAUGCGAACACUAGUUACCAAAAUUAGAAAACCUUACUAUUCAUUGAGUUUUGGAAAAACAAAAACGUUAAUAAUAUUUUAAAAAAACUUUAACAAAAAUAAAAGAGAAAACAACAGCACCACAAAGAAAACGAAGGCGGUGGGAUUGGGAUGAUGAACAUCGUGCGAGCCACGACCGUCGGAUAAUAAAGAAGAAGAAGAGAGGAUCGUUGGGGAAAUAAAUGGACAUGACAUAAAAUUACAAAACACCAAUUACUUUCUCUACUUUUGUUGGUCCCUCAACGACAACAACAACAUGAACCUCUCAAUUCCUUUGAUAAUGACUGAUGUAGUUGAGUUGAGCCUAGCUAUCCCAUUAAUGGAAUUUAAUAAAUUUUAAUUAGAAGACAAAAAAAACAACCAAAGUUUCUAUACAAAGGGCUAGAAAUAAAAAAAAGUUUCUAAUUUACCCAAAACCAACAGUGAAAAUAGAAGCAUAUAGAAGAAAAAAACAAUUCUUCAGUAGCCUCAUAUCUUUUUUUUUUUUUACAUAUUGAUGUUGUUAUGUUAUUUUUGGUUAUCUUUUUUCUGCUACGUCCCACUUUUUAAACGAUGCUUUCAAAUGCAACUUGUGUGUGACAAGUCGGUUUUAAGCUUGAUGAUGAGUCUCCUAGGCCUCUUAGAAGCUUAAGCACGUCGGCUUCAUCGUCCAAGAAGUACUUAGCUUUGCUUGGCUUUCUUCCAACCGUGCAUGCGUAAACCUCUGGUUGAGUCAAAAGCUCUGGAUUUGUCACUGUGCUUAGUAUGCUCUCGAACAUGUCCUCGUCUGAUCUAUCGUCUCCUAUGCACAUCACUAGUCCUGGUGGAUUCCCGCUUUCUACCAUUUCUCGGAUUACUUUUUCCGCAGCUAGACCUUUGCUUACACCCUGAGUUCAUUACAAUGCAUCAAGCUAAAAAAAAAGUACUUGUAGAUCCUAACAUUUUUUCAAGAUUUGCAAUAAUACUUGUGUAGAUGAAAGUGAAAGAGAUCUAUGCUUUUUACAUACCUGUGGUUUGACUUCAACGAUGUGUUGACCUCUUUUGACAACAACAGGCUCAUUGGCGAGAACGCUUUCUAGAUGAUCAAGAAGCUCCUUAGCUUGACAUGAUCCAAAGUCUGGAUCUGCGUCUUGAUGGUGCCACACCAAAGCACUCUCUUUGAACUCUAUACUAGUCCCAUCUGUUGCCUCCAUAUACGAUCUCAUAACUGGUUCCACCAUUGACCUCCACUCUGUCUCCGUAGACGAGUAACAAGUCUCCCACUCAUCCUUGCUAUUCCACCUACCACCCACAACAAAACAUGAAAAUGUCUUUUAUAAGUUUCUUUAGAACCUCUAUGGGGAAAAACAAGGCAAAACUGUGCAUUCAUAGUAUAAAAUAUAUAUACCUUAUGAAAUAUCCAUGUUCAGCUGCUAUUCCAAGAUUGUCACAAGGAGAUAGCCAAUUGCUCAGAGACUCUUUACCUCUUCCACUAACAAUGAAAACUGUGUUUUUGGGAUCUUCACAGAGAGCUUUCAGAACAGAGACAACCUCGGCGCUUGGAUCUUGAGCAAUGGAGCUUUCAGGAACAAGAGUGCCAUCAUAAUCAAGAAAUAUCGCCCUUCGCUCUUUAUUUCUAUAAAUCGGGACAAUGUGUUCCACAGAUAGCUUCCUAAAACUUGGAGAGAGCGACAAAACUCUGAACCCCAAUCCAAAUCCAAUCCCCCAACAACGUUUACUAUAGUGAUCCCUGCAAGCUCUCUCAAGAUCCUGCAUAAAGCUCUUUGCCCAGUAACCAACAUCAUGAGUGCUAAUAUAGUGGUAAUGUUUCUCAUGCCUUAGUUGCUUCUCGUUCUCACUCAUUUUAAGAGCAGAGUUCACCGCCUCUGCCACAGCAUCUACAUCCCAUGGAUUCACCCUGAUGGCACCACUCAAAGAAGGCGAGCAUCCAAUAAACUCAGACACAACAAGCGUGCUUGUGCGGGGAGAUGAAUCAUCAAGAACCUUGUUUCGAGUCCCUUGCCUGCAGACUAUAUACUUAUAAGGAACUAAGUUCAUGCCAUCUCUCACAGCAUUCACUAAGCAACAAUCUGCUGCUGCAUAAUACGCGGUUUUCUCAGAACGUGGAACAAGACGAUCGAUCAACACUAUUGGUUUAUAAUCAGGAGUACCAUAACGCUCAUUGAUCCUUUUCGCAGUCUCAUACGUCUCUCUUUUCGCUUCUUCCACAUCUUUACCAGAAGAUCUUGCCGGAUUCACUAUCUGAACAAGAACAACCUUCCCUCUCAAAUGCCAAUAUGUCUCAAAGAGAUGCUCCAUUGCAAUGAGCUUUAAGCUUAUACCUUUAAAUAUAUCCAUAUCGUCGAUGCCAAGAACCAGUUUCUUCCCUUUAUACUGUUCUUGAAUCUCUUUCGUCUUCGCCGCAGUAGAAUCAAGAUUCAAAACAGAUUCCAAUCUACCCAUAUGGACACCAACAGGAAGAAUUUUUAUAUACACAGUCCGACCAAAGUAAUCAAGUCCUAUAUGACCGCGCUUAGACUCAUAAUCAAGACCAAGCAUUCUACUACAGCAAGACAGGAAAUGCCUCGCGUAAUCAAACGUGUGGAAUCCAAUGAGAUCACAGUUCAACAAACCUCUCAAAAUAUCGUCACGAACGGGCAAUGUGCGGUAGAUCUCAGAAGAAGGGAAAGGACUAUGCAGGAAGAAACCAAGCUUGAUCCUAUUGAAACGUUUCCUCAAGAACGUAGGAAGAACCAUGAGAUGAUAAUCUUGAAUCCAAACAUAAUCAUCCUCAGGGUUGAUAACUUCCAUAACCCUGUCUGAAAAUAUCUUGUUGGCAGACACAUAAGCUUGCCAUAGACGCCUGUCGAAACGAUCUCCAUGAUCAGGAAACAUAGGAAGCAUGUAAUGAAACAAUGGCCACAACUGAUGUUUACAGAAACCAAGAUAGAACAUUUCCUGCAACUCCUUAGACAAAAACGUCGCAACGCAGUUAAACUCCUCUAAAAGCUUCUGAGAAACUUCUUCUUGCUCACUCGACUUGAUAUCAACGUUAAGUGAUCCAACGUAGAGGAACUCUGUUUCUGAAGAGAACCCAUCUCUGAGUUGCAACUGAAGAGAGUCUUCGUCCCAGUUAAAACACCACUUACCAGUCUCAGCAUCUCUUUUAGAUUGGAGUGGUAACAUAUUAGCCACAAUGAUCUUCCUCUCACGUGAACCACCGGAGGAAGAAGUUACCUCAGAGUAUUCAUCGCCGGCUUUGUCUCCGUCUAAGUCGGAGAUGAUUCCCGGAACAGUCAUGACGCGAGGAAGAGCUCUUGGAGUCUGAGGAAAAUCCAAAAGAUCCCAAGAUGAUAAGUCUAGAAAAUUAGCACAAGAUCUUGACACCAUGGAGAAGAAGAAACAGAGCUUAAAAAGUGCUUGUGUCUUGUUCCAAAAAACCUUUAAAAUGCUAACAAACAACAAAAAAACAAAAAAAAAUCAAUUACUACCUUAAAAAAAAAAAAACUUUCUUGUUUCAGAUUCAAGUACAUAUAAUCUUCUCAUUCAAAUAUUAUGAACAUCAAAUCACCAUUUCCAUAUAUAUAUACAACAAACUGGUUCCUUCAUAACUUUAUUUUAUAACCAAAAAAACAAAUAUUAUCAAGAUCGG